rnacentral:lncRNA from 1 species
UGAAUGGGAUUUUUGUGAAAGAGUAACAUAAUGGAUGACCGAACAUUUCAUCUGUGAUCUCAAAGUCAACAGAAUUUUAUUCACUCAUUGACUUUUCAACUGCCGUGGUUUUUAUGGGUGAAAGAUAAGGGCAAUUACAAAAAAUUUGCAAAAUUUGUCAAUUUCUUAGAUGGUAGAUAUAUCGACAUUUUAGAUUUCAGAUAUUUGUCACCAAUUUGCAAAAUUGAAAUUUCUGUCUUCAAUGGGUUUUCAAAGCCUCGCCUCUCUUCGAUUUUUGUGGAUUGGGAAUUGCACAAAUCUCACAUCAUUUCCCGAGGUCGAGGAAAAGAGCGGCCCAAACUUGCUCGCAUCCCUUGGGUUAUGAUAGAUGGAAAAUUCAUGUACGAUCCAGUCAGAGGUGUUGAUUCUCUUAUUAAGGUCAGCUGAUUUCUAUUAUCCACUCUGACAAUCUCCUAUUAGUGUUUUUCCUUUUUUUUUUUUCAAAAUUUUGCAGUUCUGUAUAAUUGAAAAUGCCACUCACUUGUUUCCUUUUUCACAGGUCAGAUAGUAUGUUGAGGCUAUUUGAUUUCUAUCGGUGUUUGUUAAGGUAAUUAGUGCUCCCUCAUAGGUAUGACUAGAUUUUUUUCACUUCCGUAAAUAUUGCAUUUUAGACUGGCAAAUUUAGCAGUAAUUUUAAUACAAUUUUGUUGGUGCCUUGUGUGCCAGAAGCUAGAAAAAUGUGUAGUUUUCAGAUAAGGAGUCUUGUUAGUUCUCUAGUAAGAAUCCAAUAAUUUGCUUUUGCACGUCCAUCUAAUUUGUGGAUCCUUGCAUCAGAAUUUGAUCAAUCCAAAGGAAUUGCUUUUAGACAGAAGAAGAAUAGCAGCACCUAGCCUAUGUCAUAGUGUAUGGACCCGCAAACCUGAAACUAUUAGAUUGAGGUAAAAAAAUCAUUGACCCUCACAUGUUAACUUCUUCUAGUUACUUUUGUUGGGAAAAAAAAACAUUUAAGGAAUUUGCAAUUUGUUGUUAGUUAUGGUAUCUGAUGUUCUUUUCUGUUUUAGCGUUUGUAGAAUCUACGGUAUUAUGUGUUGGCAGUUGCCGUAUCUGAGGUAACUUGCCUUUAUUUGUUUGCUUCUGACUUAAGGACACCAACAUUUGCCAGAGAUUUAGAGAAGCAUCUCAAAACACUUAGCAAACUUGACAAACUUCAAGAUGCACUUGCCCCCACGCCUUAUUCUCCACAACGCAAAACUUGUGAGUACACUUAUGCCUGCAAUUAUUGUGAAGUGUUUGCAAUUUCGAUGCAGAGAAAUGGUUUCUUGAUGCAAAGUAUUAAACUGUUAAGAUUUAUCCUGCAGGCUUGUUAGAUGUUGUAUACUCGAAAAGCCAACAACAUCAAGAACUACAACUCCAAGACCAACUUUGCAUUAAUUCAGUCAGCUGUAAAAAUGAUGCAAAUGACACUAUAUCAAGCUGGACUUAGAGACUAGUCAGAUCAAUCAUCCAUUUCAUCAACGGUUAAUGUCAUGAUGGUGGCUAUCAGAGGAAACAAAAGAUGUGUCAGAAUCUAUACGAACAUUGAGAAGCAUGAGAGGAGCUUUGAUUUUGAGUAGGGUCAAUGAACUCAUGUUGGUAAGUGGUGAUUAAAGAAAUUUGUAAGCUUAGUAGAGUUUCAGUAUUUUCUGUUUGGAGUAUAGUUGAUAAGUUGACUCUGUUUAAGAAGCCCGAUUAUAGUAGCUGACUGUAUUAACCUUUUUUUUUUUGGUCUGCUGUUGUUUUUGGUUUCGAUUAUUUUUUCAACAUUGGGUUGAUCUGUUGAAGAACAAGCUUGGGUUUGAUUAUGUUUUAACUAUAAGGAAGAGCCAGACUUGGUUGCAGGCGUUAAGCUUUUAAUGGGUAAGAACAAAUGAAUGCUUUAACCAUGUUUCUCACUUAUUAAAAUGCAUGGAUUGAAGGCAUCUGGGUUGAUCCUGACAAUGUGAUGGAAAUACUUCUCUGUUUUCAUGUAACAGGACAAAUAGAGAUCUCUGAUCAUGCCUGAAUUUUUGUUGCAUUGAAAUUUCUACCAUUACCAAACAUAGAAUGAACUGGGGAUACAUUAGCUUAAGACUCAAUUUUGAGAAGGAAGUUUGUACUUGCAGCCUAUAAAAUCAUGUCCGUGUCGUACGUUUCUUUGGGAAAUGAAAGAUUCUGUGUGUUCUUUUAUUUCAAGUUCACUGAAAUCACAUUUGUUUUCUCCGAUGCUUUCCAGAAGGUAACAACAUCAAUUUCAAAAAUGCUGGGGCAAGAUGCAUCAUGCAGUGCGACUCAACUUGAGAAUUCCUGGCCACAUUACCCGUAUGUCGAAUGAUCGCACAGUUCAACCUUGAGAAGCUUGUAAUGAGUACACAACUGGGUGCAAGUAGUUUUGAAAUGAAUUUGCCUCAAAUGAUUUCUUGCUCGCAUCCCUUGGGUUAUGAUAGAUGGAAAAUUCAUAUACGAUCCAGAGUCAGAGGUGUUGAUUCUCUUAUUAAGGUCAGCUGAUUUCUAUUAUCCACUCUGACAAACUCCAAGACCGGGUUUUUUUUUUUUUUUAAUUUUGCCGUUCUGUAUAAUUGAAAUGCCACUCACUUGUUUCCUUCUUCACAGGUCCGAUAGUAUGUUGAGGCUAUUUGCUUUUUAUCGGUGUUUGUCAAGGUAAUUAGUGCUGCCUCAUAGGUUGAUUACUCACAGAUGAAAUCAUAACUUUUAUCUUAAAAUUUAAUAGCAUACACAGAUAGAUGAUUUUUAGUCCAAAGUUUUUUUAUUCACUUCAAUCAAAAUUUUAGAUUGCAGAUUUUUGUCAAGUAUUUCAUUACAAUUUUUUCAUUUUUUAUUUUAAACCAGAAUAUGAGUAUAACAUUUUGGAGCGUGCAUACUCUGAUGCAUGCAAUUAACUGUUUUUAAUCAUUGGAUUUUGAAAUUAAUAAUGGUAAGAUGUGUACUUAUUCUGUCUUCCAACAACCUUGGCCUCUUUCUUCGGUCGCAUAUCUAAUGAAUAUUUCUCUGUUUAGUUAAGGAUGAAUGCUUGGAGUGGGGUACUUGGUAACAUUUCUGCCUCAGAUGAAUCCUUGAAGAAAUGCCCGCAGUUCCUGAGACCAAAUACAGGUCUGAUUCAAAACAGCACCUUUCUCAGAAAAUAUGAUCCAAGGCAAAGUCAUGUUCUGAUAAUGUUUCCUUAAGUACAAAGUUGCAAGGAAACUUGAUUCAUUAACUACAGUUUUUUAUUUUUAGGACCUUGUAUCUGAAAGGUUCAGUGUUUUUUUUUUUUUCAAAUUUAUUGUUCAGAUCUCAGAGGAGUAUAUGGUUUAGAUUACAAAACACCCAUGAUUAAUUUCAUUUUUUUUUUAAUUUCAGGGAGAAGAAGUGGUCAGUUUCAAUCCGGAAUUGGAAUAUGGCAAUUUGGUUCAAGCACACACACCUGGUCACUUGGUCAGUGAACCUGAACUUUACGCAGUUUUUUCAACUCAGUGAUUUUUGGAACGCAUAGUGGUGUAAGGAAAUCAAAAGAAAUUUAUGCAUAGUCAAAUUCUGAUAUUUGCUAUAUAUUAUACAUUCUAAAGUUUCUCCAGUUUGUUCUCAGAUUACCAUCAUUUUUUGCCUUCACCAAAAAAAAAAAAUUGAGUGGCUUUCCAGUGGAUAUUUAAUCGGAGGUAUGACUGGAUUUUUUUCACUUCUGUAAAUCUUGCAUUUUAAACUGGCAAAUUUAACUUUAAUUUUAAUACGACUUUGUUGGUGCCUUGUGCCCCAGAAACUAGAAAGAUGUGUAGUUUUCAGAUAAAGGGGCUUGUAAAUUCUCUAGUAAGAAUCCAAUAAUUUGCUUUUGCACGUUCAUUUUAUUUGUGGAUCCUUGCAUCUGAAUUUAAUCAAUCCAAAAGGAAUUGCUUUUAGACAGAAGAAGAAUAGCAGUACCUAGCCUAUGACAUAGUAUAUGGACCUGCAAACCUGAAACUAUUAGUUUGAGGUAAAAAAUUCAUGACCCUCACAUGUUAACUUUCAUGAAAAACACAUUUAAGAAAUUUGCAAUUUUUUGUUAGUUUCGUAUCCGAUGUUGUUUUCUGUUUUAGCAUUUGUAGAAUCUACUGUAUUAUAUUUUGGCAGUUGCAGUAUCUGAGGUAUGUUUUGCAUUUAACUUGCUUUAUUUGUUUUGCUUGUGACUUAAGAACACCAAUAUUUGCCAGAGAUUUAGAGAAGCAUAUCAAGCUGCUUGGCAAACUUGACAAACUUCAAGAUCCUCCAUUCUUCACAACGCAAAACUUGUAAGUACACCUAUGCCCGCAGUUAUUGUGAAAUGCUUGCAAUUUUGAUGCGCUGAAAUGGUUUGUUGAUGCAAAGGUUUAAACUUUUAAGAUUUACCCUGCAGGGUAGUUGGAUGCUGUAUACUCGAAAAGCGACCAACAUCAAGAACUAUGACUCCAAGACCGGGUUUGCUUUAAUUCAAUCAGCUGAAAUCAUGAUGCAAACGACACUAUCAGCUGGACUUAGAGACCGGUCAGAUCAAUCAUCCAUUUUAUCAACAGUUAAUGUCAUGAUGGUGGCUAUUAGAGGAAACAAAGGAUGUGUCGGAAUCAAUGUGAACAGUGAGAAGAAUGAGAGGAGCUUUGAUUAUACGUAGGCUCAAUGAACUCAUGCUGGUAAGUGGUAAUUAAAGAAAUUUGUGCGCUUAGUAGCAUUUCAAUAUUUUCUGUUUGGGAUAUAGUUGAUGAGUUGAUACUCUGAUUAAGAAGCCUGAUUAUAGUAGCUGACUUUUUUUUUGUGGUUUGCUGUUGAUUUUUCUUUUGAUUUUUUCAACAUUAGGUUGAUCUGUUGAAGAACAAGCUUGGGUUGAUUAUGCUUUAACUACAAGGAAGAGCCAGACUUGGAUGCAGGCGUUCAGCUUUUAAUGGGUAAGAACAAAUGUAUGCUUUAAACAUGUUUCUCACUUAUUACAAUGCACGCAUUGAAGGCAUCUGAGCUGAUCCUGAAAAAGUGAUGGAAAUACUUCUCUGUUUACAUAAAACAGGACAAGAGAUCUCUGAUCAUGCCUGAGAAUUAGUUGCAUUGAAAUUUCUACCAUUGCCAAAAAUAGAAUAAACUAGGAAUACAUUAGCUUAAGACUCAAGUUUGAGAAGGCAGUUUGUACAUGCAGCCUAAAAAAUCAUGUCUGUGUUGUAUACUUGUAUGUUUCUUUGGGAAAUGAAAGAUUCUGUGUGUUCUAUUAUUUCAAGUUUGCUGAAAUCACAUUUGUUUUCUUAGAUGCUUUUGAGAAGGUAACAACAUCAAUUUCAAAAAUGCUGGGGUAACAUGCAUCACGCAGUGCUACUCAACAUGAGAAUUCCGGCCGCAUUACCUGUAUGUUGAGUGAUCGCACAGUACAGCCUUUAGAAGCUUGUAAGGAGUAGACAACUAGAUGUGAGUAGUUUCAAUAUGGAUUCGCAUCAAAUGAUCUCUUGCCAGUGAUUACUAUAACCUCUAUCCCAAAAUUCUUGGAACUGGUCAUACCAAUAAUGAAGUGUUGUGUAUGUUGAAGACAUUGCGAAAGCUCCGUCAGCCUUUGUAUUGGAAAACAGUUGGUUGUAGUUGCUUCUGAAUGAUAUUAUUAAUAGAUACUGUAAAAAUGAACUGUGCCACUCAUUUUCAGAGCCCUGUUAAGAUGUGUUGGUAAUGUGUUUGAAGGUUGUUUGAUUUAUGUUGUAUUCAGCUAUAAAUCAAAGAUUCAGAACAUGGUUAUGUUACUGGUUUCCAAAUCAAAAAAUUGCCUUGUGAUGUUAGUGUUCAUUGUUUUCACAGGAGAUCAGGUUCCCUGUUGAUGAAUCAUUAAGGCAAACGCAUCCAUGUCUUAAGUUCAAAUGUGUCUCUUCUAUUUUCUAUUACUGACUCCUUUAUUUUGAUUUCUUCAUUGUAAUGGAAUUGGUUUUUAUUCCAAAUUAGUCUUAAGUUCUGUUAGCAUUUGAAGAUAGAACUAGAACUAAAUGAUUGACUGGAUUAAAUUCCGAUAAAGAAUUAAGUUAUAUAUUUAGAGAUAUUAUGUUUUUUUUUUUUUCAUUUGUUCAAUUUGGUUAGUGGUGAUUUCUUAAAGACUCAAUCCAUGUGCGUUUAUGCAUUUUUCUUUUGCCUUAAUUUCUGUUUCUUGGGGAGUUUAUACAGAUUCUUAUUUUAUGCUUCACAUGCCACAUGAAAGAUCGAAUUCUUAUAAUAAGAGUCUGAGAUCUCCCUGAAGGAUUCAAAGCAUUUUAUUUUAUAUUAAACUCCUUUACGUGGGUUUGGACACUACCACAAGUUCUUUAAAUACUAAAACGAUUUUAAGUCUUUUGUAUCAUCUGAUUGAAAUACAUGAAAGCACUCGUGGCUGCAAAAAUACAGUUGGGGCUAUUUCUAAAGUCUUCAACAGCAUUUUCUUUUUAACCUUUAUCCUCAUGGUUGUUUUUGCAGUUGUUCUUUAAGAAAACAUUUAAAAGGUUCUCUUUAUGGAUUUUUGAAAAUAAUUUUAACAUAAGCAAUUUUCAGAAGCACUUUAGAUGUCUGGCAUUUAGAAAAUUUUAUUCCGGUGUCACAUAAAAUACUUAGGAAGUUAAAUUUAUUUAUUUAUGAGCAUGUGCCAGUGCCCUGUGGCAUCCUCUUCACUUGUGAUAGUCAAAUGUAUUAUACGAUACAAUAUUAGCUUGACUGUAGCACAGAGGAGAAUAGGGUUGGUGUUGGUCUGAACCAGCUUAUGUAACAGCUGCCAAAGGAUAAUUUAAUUGUACUUUGAGUAAAGCUUUUGCAAAUUAAACAAGUGAUAAUUUGUUUCUAUUAAGAAAAACUUAAAGGAUAGGGCUAUUUUAACUCACCAAACUACACAUUAAAAAUCUACUUACAAAAAUAGUUUUUAAUUAUUAAAAUAUUCCUAAAUUAAAUUAUAAUUAUGGACACUAAAAUAUAAUUUUUUUUAUAUUUUACCCUUUGAAACUAUCUUUACAUUCGAUAUUACAUUUUUUUCUUAAACUCCAAAUUGAUUUUUUUUAUUAAUUUUAAAACACAUAUAAAGUGAUUCAUAUUGAUUUUAUACUAACAAACUAUUAUAGCACAUUCGAAAAAUAAUUAAAUCGUUCUUAUUUACAUAGUGAAAAUGCAAAUAGCUCAUUCAAAUGUUAAGGAAUUGGAGAGCUGCUGCUGGAGAUGAAAGAUGUGAAUUAAACAUCAGAGAAAAAAUUAUGUUCACUGUCUUGCCAGACCAAGCACCGAAAAGCGUCGUAAAGAAAAAUUAGAUAAUUUAGAAGAUAAAGCACGUGGAAUGGAGGCAGAAAGCAAGUAAUGAUAACUCUUUCGACAAACUAAUAUAUACCAAAAUGUAAUAUCGGCCCUAAUAAAAAAUGUGUUACGUAAGUAAAAGCACCAGGUCGGUCGUGCUACUAUUUCUGUCCCGGUAUGGCUCACCUCAACUGAAUGGUACAAGCAGAGCAUGGAGACGAAUAUGGCCCGACCAGAGAUGAGUACCGACCAGAGGUGUAUGUCGAGCCGAUACCCGUCUCCUGAAAAAGCGGGAACACGAUCCCACAGAAUCGCGGAAUUUGCGUUUUUCCCAGAACCGUUGCGAGAGAUGCGAUACCCCACGUUUACCCGUAAUGUAGUAGUUAAAGUUCCGUGAAAGGCCACCACCCGAAAAAGGAGGGAUGAAGACUGAGCGGGAACGUGGGAUAACGGCUAUAAAAGAAGGAGAAAUCGAUGAAGAAGGGGACAGAAAAAUCAAAAGAGGGAAAACGCUGCCAAAUUAUUGUCAGGCUAUCUUCUUGAAAAUUCCAGAUAAAUCAAAAACUACUCUUAAAUCUAAAUUGCUCUGUUUUCCCGUAAAUACCUUGAGCUAACUUAGGCAUCGGAGGGUUUACGCCGGCAAAACCACCCGCGUCUUUGAUCCGUUUUUUUGUGAGCGCAGGUCUAGAAAGAGAAAGGAGGACGAGUCCAAGUCCCGCGGUUCGAACUUGAUAACAUAAUCGUUGGUGGAAAAUUCUGGUCGGUAACAAGGCGAGCAGAUUUAAGCAUCAACAUUUUGGCGCCGUCUGUGGGGAGCUGGAUAAAAAGCUACCACCAACUUAGUAGUUGCCAGAGAAGCGGUAAACAAUCAGACAUGGAUGUGCCCAGGAAAGACGCUCUGAGGGAGGAUAACGAGUCUGGAGAGACAAUCACUCUUAGGGAAAUUGCAAAUGAAGCCCGGGAGAGGGUAAUGCAAGAUCGAUUGGAGCGGAUGGAGAAACAAAUGGAGACUCUCGCGACCAUACUAUUUGAGCUGAGAGACGAGCGGAGAAGGGAUUGCGAAACCCCUGUGGGGAGAGAUGAUGUCGGAGCAGAACCCAGCCUCCGGACGCGUAGAGUCGAGGAGAUCCCUCCGCCGGCGGACCAACCUAAUGGGGUGCAUCCCCACAGAAGUACUGGUCGGAUUCCAGGAGAACAAAUAGAUGAAGGGAGGAACCAACCUCGCCCUGGGCGGGUACUGGAAGCUGAUGGCCGAGGGGCCAGUGUUAAUGAAGGGGAGCUCAGGCAGCGGUUGCAGAAUGCCGAACAGGAGCGAGAUCAAAUAGCUGCACGUGAUCCUGACCGUGCUGUAGAAUUGGAGGGAGAGGUGCGCAGAUUAGCGCAAGUGAUAGAGGAGAUACAGGGUAGGAGAAAGCCCCCGAGCUGGAGGAUAAUGCUAGAUGAAGAAUCUCCACUAUCAGUUGAGAUCAUGGGCACUGUAAUCCCAAGAGAUUUCCGCUUCCCCGACCUCAAAUACUCCGGGCGAAGUGAUCCACUGGUGCAUAUUGAACGUUUUAAUGACGUGACGGGUGUUCAGGGGUUAACACCAGCUCAGAGGUGUAGGGUAUUCCCAUUGACACUAGAGAGACGAGCCCGAGAAUGGUACCACAAACUGUUACGAGGAAGUAUCAGAGGGUACGAGCAGAUGUGCCAAGAAUUGGCCGAACAAUUCCGGGGGGCGGUGGCCCCAGAGGAUGAUAUGAUGGAACUAAUGGGGAUAAAGCAGGAGGAACAAGAACCCCUUCGAGAUUUUGUAAAACGAUACCACCGAGCCGUGCUUGAUUUGGGAGCUUUCAAUCACCCGCAGGCGUUGAGGGGAUUGAAGGAGGGUGUGAGAAUAGGCCGACUGUGGUAUAACCUGAGAAGCCCCCUGGUGCAGAAUUAUUCCGCGGGGUAUGAGCAAGCAAAGAGAGACAUUGAAAUCGAAGAAGAAAAAUCAGCCAGGAUAAAGAGUGAACAAUUGGAGGAGCUGAGACGAAGAGAGAUGAGAGCCCCAAAAGGAGCGGGUCAGGAAAGCAAGCUGGGGAAUCUUCAAUGAUGGGUGCAGUAUCCGCUCGAUCUCGCCUUUAUCCUAUGGCUCAGAGACCGCAGCAGGUCCAACACAAUCGGGCUCAGCCCUCACGCCCCCCAUUCCUGGAACGACAACGAGAAUUUCGGCAGUUGGCUAACCAUCCCUAUCACAACGCUCCCAGAGCACCGCAUACAGCCAACCCCAGAGCGGGACGAUCAGGUCAGCUACCUUCAAUAUCCGCUCGGGAUGAUACUCAUGAUAGCCGAGCAGUCCAGCUGAUUGACCAGAACCCAGCGUACGGACAAUAUACCCCGCUAAAAGUCCCUAUGGAGGAGUUGUAUGAGAGAAUCGAGGGACGAGGCCUGUUGUACCCUCCAGCCCCUAUAACGAAACCUGCUCACCGAAGGGAUAAGAGCAGAUUCUGCAAAUUCCAUGACACUCACGGUCACACCAUCAGCCAAUGUCGUGACUUUAAGAUUCAGGUGGAGGAUUUGGUGAGAAAUCGUUAUUUGGAUGAGUAUGUAGAUGGGGUUUCUCCCGUCAUUGAAUCACAGUACACGCGGGGUGAAGGAGAUGAGAGGAGCCUGGAACGUGAACAGCCAACUAUCCGUGUGAUAGCAGGAGGGCCAACCCUGGCUGGGGAUUCGAAUAGGGCACGGAAGAACUAUGGGAAAUACGCCAUGACCAGCAAAGAAGUUCUUUUCAAUUUGCCAGCAGCCAAGAAGGCAAAAUUGCGGCAAGUUCCCAUUAUGUGGACAGAUGACGAUAAAGAGGGUAUCCUAUAUCCUCAUAAGGAUGCACUGGUGAUUAAGGCAAUGGUGGCUGGUACAGAACUACGACGGAUACUGGUAGACACGGGCAGCUCGGUUGACAUCUUGUUUAAAUCGGCCCUAGAUGAUAUGGGGAUUGCAGACUUAAAAUUGGAACGGACGAACACAUCUUUAAAGGGAUUUGGAGGGGGACGGCUAACUCCCAUAGGAAUCGUCGAACUCCCAAUUACUAUGGGGACAAAGCUGUUUGAAAGAACAAUGAUGUUGGAUUUUGUCGUGGUAGAGGAGAGAAGCCCUUACCAGAUGAUACUGGGGAGACCGUUCAUGAAGAUAAGUCAAUGCGUUGUGUCUACGCAUUAUCUGGCACUAAAAUACAGAAUAAACGGAGCGGUUGGUGUAGUAAAAGGUGACCAGAGGGUGGCAAGGAGUUGUUAUGCUACAGCGGCCAAGGAGACGCUGCAGGUUACUUCCUUAGAUAAUCGAGGAGAACCUAAAAAGGGCCGCCAAGAACCUGUUGAGAAACUGGAGGCAGUUUCGGUAAGCAAAGGCGACCUGAGCAGAGUGGUGAAGAUCGGAUCGGGGUUGGUUGGUGCAGUCAAAGGCGAACUGGUAAAUUGCCUACAGUCUCAUGCAGAUAUAUUUGCCUGGUCUCACGAGGAUAUGCCAGGAAUUGAUCGUGGGGUAGCUUGCCACAAGUUGGCAAUUAAGAAGGGGGCGAGGCCGGUGAGACAGAAGAGGAGAUGCUUUAACCAGGAAAGAUACCCAGACGGACGAGAUGUGAAGAGGUCAUGGAACGCCGAGCACUUAAAGAAGUAUUUUCAGUAAGCAAAGUGCUCUGCUAAAUCCUCAUUUUGAUAAGUUUUCUUUGUUAACUGCAUGAUGGUUUAUUACGCAUGUACAUAGUCUGUAUUUUGUAAUACAUUCAAAUCGCAAUAAAGAUGAAUUCAGCAUGAAACCCUUCUGUUAAGCAAGGCCAUUAUAAUUUAUACCAAGGCAAGUAAGUGCCUGCUUCUGCUCGGUCAACGAAAGACCAGCAGCUAAAUUAGCGAAAUUUCUACCAAGGCAAGUAAGUGUCUGCUUCUGCUCGGUCAACGAAAGACCAGCAGCUAAAUUAGCGAAAUUUCUACCAAGGCAAGUAAGUGCCUGCUUCUGCUCGGUCAACGACAGGCCAGCAGCUAAAUCUACGAAAAUUAUACUAAGGCAAGUAUGUGCCUGCUUUAGUUCGGUCCACGAAAGACCAGCAGCUAAUACUACGAGAAUUCUGCUAGGGCAAAUAAGUGCCUAGUUCUGCUCGGUCAACGAAGACUAGCAACCAAUUUUAUUAAAAUUUUACUAAGACAAGUAAAUGCAUACUCCUGCUCGGUCCACAAAGAAACCAGCAAGCAAAAUCAGAUAAGUUGUCCAAUUAUUUUGCAGAAACCAUCUAUGAGCAAAUACCAGACAAGAAAGUCAAUAGAGAACAUCUAAAAGUUUAUAAAUGUUUGAUUGUCUACAAAAUAGAUGUAAAUCUAAAGUUUACACAGAAAUAGACUUAAAGAUUAGCAGGGUCAACGGCUCCAGCAGCUGAAGAAUCAGCAACCUCAGGAGGCGGGAGAUCGGCAAUACCGGGAGGAGGGGGCAUGGACCCUUGACCCACCUCGAAAGUACGUCCCCCGGCUUCCCCCUCCUGCACCCCCUCCAAAGGAGCCUCCGCCUGAUCCUGAUGACCUUGCUCCUUAUCUGCCUGGCCGGUUUCCGCCAUAUACCGCUGCACUCCAGCCUCCAGCUUACUCAUGUCCAGCUCGGGAUAUUCUUCUUUAAGCACGGACAUGAUACACUUAUAGGAGAAAGCAACCCCAGAGUCAUACUCGGCAUCCAGCUGGUCGUCCACAUCAGCGGAUUUGCCUUUCUCCUCAGCCAGCUGUUCAUUUAGGGAUUUGAUUUCUCCCUCAAGGGCAGUCCUCAGAGUAUCUCUUUCACUUUGAGUUACCUGAAGGUCAGACUUCAGGCUGCCCAACUCACCCUCGAGUUUGGAGGCAGUGGACUCAGCAAUUGCAGUUUUCUCCUCCAGCUCCAUAAUCUGUUUGUUCAGCUCGGCCAGUUUCUCCUUGGAGCGAUCAGCAGAUUCAGCCUUCUUUUUCAACUCCUGAUUAUCAGCUUGAAGCUUCCUCUCAUGGCGUAUGGACACGUUCUUGUAACACGAAACCAUGGUGGCCAGCCUGAAGGAAACCCUUUGAACAGAGGCAGCUAACUCGGAGAGCUCCAUACUCUCGAUGUCCUUCACCAUCUUGGGCCCAACCGACCUCUUGUAAUCCUUUUGGUACGGGCUCAAAUAGUCACCCUGAUCCCGAGAUGGAAGAGGAGAAGAUCGGUCCCCAGAUUGUAAGCUGACCUCAGGGCUCUUGUCGGAAGUUUUCUCCCCACUACUCUUACGAGGUGGAGGAGGGGGCAGAGCAGGAACUGGAGCCUGAGAAGGACUGGCACUGGCCUUUUUCGGAGGAGGAGGAGGGUGGCUGGAGCUGCUCGAUGCCCGACCACGCUUUCUGCUCAUCGCGCUGAGGAUCUUGUUAUCCAUCCCAGCGGCAAUAUCUACUAAGCCCGAACCGACCAGGUUUGUUGGUGACAGGAGGUCUUGACAAGUAGACGCGCUCACCAGAGCCGUUUCCACCUGGAGUAAAGGUCGGUCCUCGAGAGUCUUAACCAAACCCCACGAUUCUGAAAAAACAGACAAGGUUAAAGAACCCAAUAAGUGGCAAUUCGAGAAAGAAUAUAGGCAAAAAAUGAACGACCUGGGGUGACAAAUUGCGUUGGAAGGUAAAUGUCACCACCCAACGACCGAACUGCUGGACACCAAUUUCCCCCAGCAAAGAAGAAUUUGUUCUUCCAAUUUUUGCACGAGGAGGGGAAACCGGUGAUUGGCUUUCUCUUCGCAGAACUGGACAUGAAGUAGUACCAGCCCGCCUCCCUUGGGCUGCUCCGCAGCUGAUACAGAUGCUUCACUUCAACAAGGGAAGGCUCCUCCGACCCACACCUCUCCCACAACACAAACAUAGCCGAGAGAACCCUCCACCUGUUUGGGUGUAGUUGACCUGGGGCCAGGUGCAUACCCCCUAAAAUCUUGGCAAAAUAGCGCUGAAGAGGCAGCCGAGCUCCUAAUUUAAAGCUCUCCAGGUGCAUGGUCACGUACUCCCGCGGAGGCCGACUAGGAACAUCACCUUUCUCAGGAACCACAAGGAGAACCUCCUUAGGAAUAUCAUAGAGGUUCCUAAGCUUGAACAGAUCAUUUUGGGUGGUGGCACAGGCUAUGUGAUCAAUGGGGUAAGAAUCUGCCUCCAUCCUAUGCCCAAGGUUUUGUUUCUUAAGAGGUCGGCUCGGCUCGGCUCGGAGCUGCUUCCCUCACUAUCACCCGCUCCUUCAGGAACCCCGACCCCACCAGAACUGUGGUUCUCGCCAGAGCCCGACGCAGGUCCCCCUCUAUUUCCUACAAGCUCUAAUUCAGAGGAGGGUGAAAUGGUCAAGGGACGUGGGUACUCAAGGAUAUCCCUACUAUGGGAUAAGCCUACACUACGAGAGGGAUUCAAAAAAUCAGUGGGUAUGGGCAAGUUAAGGUCUGAAUCCCCAGAUUCUUCAUCACCCUCGUCUGCAAUCAACUUCCUUCUUCGAUUUGACAUACCGGAGUUCCAAAAGAAAACCAAAACAAACCCAAGUACACGAAUACAAAAAGAGACAGUACAGAACCCAAUCAACAACAGCCAAAAAAGAGGUUAAAGGCUAUACCUGGAAUGGACUAACAUUGGUAGCACUGCCGUGACAGAGAAAACACCCAGCAAAUGGAUACUCCGGACGCUGGAAAUGGGAGCAAAGUCCAGAAAAGAAAUUGGUUAGUGACGGAGAAACGAAUCGCAGAAUGAUGAUGAUUUUAGUCUAGGGAUUUGGAACGAAAAGGGGGGAAACGGAAGCAUUUAAGUGAUGGGAUAUGCCAGCUCACUCACCAUAUAUCGAGGAAGGAUAGCCCGUCGUUUCAAAUUUCAAAAUAUGAAGAGUCGGGAAGCGCCACGUCACUAACCGAUACAAGAGGCCAGACUAGAGCAAGCCCAGAUAUGCAAUGGACAGGCUCAUUAAGGCCCAUGCUCAGAAGACCAGAUGAGAAGCCCCGGGCUGGUCGGCUUCAACCAUCAGUUUCUACUCUUAACUCAUUUCACUCGCAAGACCAGAAACUGGGGGACUGGUGUUAAGUAAGUAAAAGCACCAGGUCGGCCGUGCUACUAUUUCCGCCCCGGUAUGGCUCACCUCAAUCGAAUGGUACAAGCAGAGCAUGGAGACGAAUAUGGCCCGACCAGAGAUGAGUACCGACCAGAGGUGUAUGCCGAGCCGAUACCCGUCUCCUGAAAAAGCGGGAACACGAUCCCACAGAAUCGCGGGAUUUGCGUUUUUCCCAGAACCGUUGCGAGAGAUGCGAUACCUCACGUUUACCCGUAAUGUAGCAGUUAAAGUUCCGUGAAAGGCCACCACCUGAAAAAGGAGGGAUGAAGACUGAGCGGGAACGUGGGAUAACGGCUAUAAAAGAAGGAGAAAUCGAUGAAGAAGGGGACAGAAAAAUCAAAAGAGGGAAAACGCUGCCAAAUUAUUGUCAGGCUAUCUUCUUGAAAAUUCCAGAUAAAUCAAAAACUACUCUUGAAUCUAAAUUGCUCUGUUUUCCCGUAAAUACCUUGACCUAACUUAGGCAUCGAAGGGUUUACGCCGGCAAAACCACCGGCGUCUUUGAUCCGUUCUUUUGUGAGCGUAGGUCUAGAAAGAGAAAGGAGGACGAGUCCAAGCCCCGCGGUUCGAACUUGAUAACAUAAUCGUUGGUGGAAAAUUCUGAUCGGUAACAAGGCGAGCAAAUUUAAGCAUCAACAAAAUGAAAAUAAAAAUUCAUUACGAAUACGUGUUAAAGAUAUCCCAAGUAUAGAUGUGACUGAAAUAUUUGAGAUUGAAGAAGAAUUAAGACUCAAAAUCAAUUGGGAGGAAUAAAUGAGAAACCCCAAUACCAAAAAAUACACGCACAAAUCCUAAUACUAAUUGUAAUCACGGAUAAAAAGCAUAAUACGAAUAAAUUAAAUGGGCAACUAUUCCAUUGAGAAAUUAAUUAAAUCGUGUAUUAAUAUUUUGUAUACAUAUAUUUUUCUAUAUAUAACUUUCGGUAAUUUAAUUUUCCACUUAUCAUUUUUACUCCAAAAAAAUAAUUGAGAAUAUUAUUUAUAUUUUGGUGCAAAAUAUUUGAACAAUAUACAAAUUUUCAGUUUAAUAAAUCUAAACAUCUAUUAAGUUAUAAAUGAAUUUAAUGGGUUUAAUUAAUAAAAUUACUAUUAUUAUAUAAAUUGGGUUUAGUAAUGGUAUAUUGGGUGGGUUUGUUGAGUAAAUUUUAAAAUUUUGAAAUUUAAGGAUGGGUUUAUUUAGUAAAUGAGUUAAGGGAGUAGUUUGUUGGGAUUCACAUAGCCCCACCAAAUUCAAAUGUAAAAUUUGUGGAAAAAGAAGCUAUUGAGUUAUUCUUUUAAAAAAAGAAUUAAAAUGUCAAGAAUACCUUUAUUUAAUUUUAUAAUCUUAUUUUAUAGUCAUAUUUUAUUUCCACCUUAACAUAAUUUUAAAAACCUUAACUAAUAAAUUCUAUAUUUUUUUUAUAAAAGUUAUCAUUAAUAUCCAAACGGCUAAAGAUUUUUUUUUUUUUAAAAAAAAAGGAACUAUGCUUACAAAAGUUGUAUACAUUAACAAUAAAUUUAGUCCAAAGAAUAAAGUUAUUCCAAACAAGCACUCCAAUUCAUCUUGCUAAUGAAUCAAGAUGACUGAAUCCUUCUCUAAGCCAAAUCUAUUUUCACUUUUAGGUCAGAAAUUGUCAUUAAAAAAAUGUUUGAUAAAAUAUGCUCUAGGAACACUAAUUCGUCAGAUGGUUACUCCAAGUUUAUGAAAUCAAUGGGAUUUCAUCAUAUUCAUAACAUUCUUCUUUAAUGUCUAUUCUAACAAAGAAAUCAUAUACAGAGAAUAGGUUUCGUUAAAACUUUUACUAGAAAAACUAACCACAAUUCACCAUUCAUUUAUAUCUUAAGUAAGCCUAAGAUUUUAUCAUUAAAAUCCCAUCAUGAAAAAAACUCAUGGGAGAAAAACUAUAAAAAUUGAAGAAAAAAGAGUAUGGCGUGCAUGUAAAUUAUAUCGAUUUUAUCUACAUGACAAAUAAGACUCUCUUUUACAAUGGCACGGAUGCUUCAUUGAGUAAUCAUGAUUCUUGCUGGUAGUGCUUUGUUGUAUCAAUCUGCUAGCUAUUCAGCGUUCUUUCUUUCUUUCUUCUUAUUUUUUUGUUUUCAAAUAGCUUGUGGUUGUAGAAAUAUUUCAAUUAAACUAUACUUAAGUACUUAUUUGGUAUAACUUCUUUACUAACCAAAAGAAUUUUUUUUUUUGGUUUUUUAUAAUUUAAUUAUACUUUAACUAGAGUUUUUGGGAUAAAACAAGUGAUAAUUUCUCUCUAUUAAGAAAAACUCAAAGGGUAGGGCUAUCUCAAUCCACCAAACUAUUUAUUAAAAAUCCACUUAUGAAAAUAAUUUUUAAUUAUUAGAAUGCCUUUACAUUAAAUUAUAAUUAUGGACACUAAAAUAUAAUAAAUUUUUUUUUUACUCUUUAAAACUGUCUUUACAUUUGAUAUCAUAUCUUUUUCUUAAAAUCUAAAUUGAUAUUUUUAUUUUAUUUUUUAUUAAUCUUAGAACACAUAUAAAGUGAUUCAUAUUGAUUUUAUACUAACAAACUAUCACAGCACAUUCGAAAAUAAUUAACUCGUUCUUAUUUGCAUAGUGAAAAGGCAAAUAGCUCAUCCAAAUGUUAAAGAACUGGAGAGCUGCUGCUGGAGAUGAAAGAUAAAUAAUUCUCACUUAGAAGAAGGAGAAAAAAAGGAAAUACAAUUAGAAUGAGAGGUAGCCAGUAGCCACUAGCCGCCACCACCACCAGUGAAACUAUUUCACAUAAUAGAAGAUAAAGCACGCGUAAUGGAGGCAAAAAGCAAGUAAUGAUAACUCUUUUCGACACACUAAUACAUAUCAAAAUGCAAUAUCGGUCCUAACAAAAUGAAAAUAAAAAUUCAUUACGAAUAUGUGUUAAAGAUAUCCCAAGUAUUGAUGUGAUUGAAAUAUUUGAGAUUGAAGUAGAAAUAAGACUCAAAAUUAAUUGAGAGGAAUAAAUGAGAAACCCAAAUAUUAAUAAAAUACACGUGCAAAUCCUAAUGCUAAUUAAAAUCACGGAUUAAAAAUAAUAAUAAUAUGAAUGAAUUACAGGCGCAACUGUUUCAUUAAGAAAUUAAUUAAAUCGUGUAUUAAUAUUUUGUACACAUACAUUUUUCCAUAUAUAACUUUCGGUAAUUUAGUUUUCACUUAUCAUCUUUACUCCAAAAAAAAAAUUGAGAAUAUUAUUUAUGUUUUGGUGUAAAAUAUUUGAAUAAUAUACAAAUUUUCUGUUUAAUAAAUCUAAACAUUUCUCCAGUUAUAAAUGAAUUUAAUAGGUUUAAUUAGUAAAAAUAUUAUUAUUAUAUAAAUUGGGUUUGGUAAUGGUAUAUUGGGUAUUUAAAUGGGUUUGUUGAGUAAAUUUUAAAAUUUUAAAAUUCAAGGGUGGGUUUAUUUUAGUAAAUGGGUUAAGGCAGCAAUUUCCCAAACUAAAAUUUUUAGAAAAAGACGCUAUUGAGUUUUUUUUUUUUUUAAAAAAAGAAUUAAAAUGUUGAGAAUACCUUUAUUUAAUUUUAUAAUCUUAUUUUAAAAAAUUUACCCAAUAAAUUUUAUAAUUUUUAUAAAAAUUAUCAUUAACAUCCAAACAGCUAAAGAUUAAAAAAAAAAAAAAAGAAGAAGGGAACUGUACGAGCAAAAGUUACAUUAACAAUAAAUUUAGUCCAAAGAAUAAAGUUACAGCUAAAAAGUGCUCCUAUCCUAUUUUUCUCUAUUUUAACAAUAAUCUUCUUCCAAUCCGUUUUACAAUGGACUUUAACAAAUGGGCUCAAUCUCUAAACUUCAUUUUCUUUUGCUUACCCAUGGCCAUUAGCCAGAAAGCCUAAAACAAGACCAGCCCAUAUAUAUAAUUUUUUUUAAAAAAAAGUAAAAAUGUGUGAGAGCUUGUAGCAUUACAAUUUUAGGAUCACAUGUGUAAAUGGAACCCCAACAUUGAUCAAGAAUUAACAAGACAAGAUGAAGAGAUGAUCUUGUAACUAAGAAUGAAGAAAUUGAAUCAAGACAGUACUCUAGUAAAACCCAGAAAACAGAGCUUGAAGAAUCACGCACAAAGCAGUAAAUUUGUAAAACCAGAAUUGGAGCUUCACUUCUCAAGAGAGACGAAACAGGAUACAGUCUAGCUUUAGCCAAAGUGAUAAACUCGUAAUUAUUCUACAAAGGGAACAAUUUUGAACAGUGGGAAAUUCCAUAAUUAUUCUUUUCGGUGAAUUAUUUUAAAUAAAAUUAUAAAAACCAAUAUAAAAUUAUUACCCAGUAAAGACUUUAGAGAGACAAGUGCUCCCAACAGGAUCAAGUGAAUAUGCCCCACAAAGAUCAUUUCUUGUUCUUUUUCUUUUUGACAAUUUUAUCUGUGGUUUCAACUUUUAUGCUUUAUUGUCGUAUCCCGUUGAGGGCUCCGCUGCACCCAUUACAACUUACCCCUAAAUUGCCUCUUACUAACUAAACCGUUAGAUUUUAUGGAAGCACGUUCAAUGCUGAAUUUUAAUUAUGUCAUCAAAUUUCGUUUAGCUCCUUAAACUCCAUUUUAUUUGUAAUUUCUUCAUAAAAUAUUCAAAGCUUCAUCAAGCUCCUGAUGGACCAUCAUGGCUAGGGGUGCAUUAGAGCCGAACUGAAAUAUGUUAGUUCAGUUCAGUUUGGUCAGUUUAAAUCGAAUGGUUUAGAAUAUAUAAACUGAUCAAUUUUAAUUUUUAAUUGAACCGAAAAUCAAUUGGUUCAUUAUUAGUAUUUUUUUAUAAACAUGAAUUAUUAGUGAUUGUAAUUAAAUUGGACUAAAAAAAAUUCAAACUAAGGUGAAAAAUAUAAAAUCUUAGACAAUAUAAAAGAAAAAAUAUUAAAUUUUUUUAACCGAAUUAUUUUGACUCAAUUUGGUUCAUAAUUUUUUAAACCAAAUGGAACCCUCAUAACAAAAAACUAACAGAAACAAUAAGAACACGAUGUUAAAAUCUUAAAUCAAUCGCAAAAAAGCACCCAAAACAGAUCGAUUAGGAACAGUUAACAACAAAAGAUUUGAUGGUUCAAAAUCAUAAUGUGACCUACUUCCAUCCAAGAAUUAUACUAAUUUCUUUACUAGUUGUCAAAUACAAGAUCACAAGAUUAUUUAUCACUCUAUAGAGAAAAAAUUUUUAGAAGAAAUACUCCCCAAUUUUUCUCUUGAUAGUUAUGAAUCAACACCCCUAGAAAGGCUAUUGAUUUACUUUUCCUUAUUUCAUAUGAUCGGUUGCUGCAACUUAAUCCUUGCCAAGUUCCAACAUAGUCCAAACAUUUUUCAUGGUACAUGCAUAGUGCACCUUCAGAAACUUUACAGCUCUUCUUAAAACCUCAGUUCUCGUGAUGUUUCUGAUUUAUUUCUGGGACGAGUAACACUUUUGUUGAACCUAGACCAGAUUUAGUAUCCAAUCAAGAAUUUCCAGGAUCUAGCUGAACUCUCUAAUCAAGACCUAAAGAAUAGUUAAUCAAAUCCACACAAAAGAAUCACCCAAAAACAGUAUACAAAGAACAACAAAUAUAAGUGGUUUUGAGAUAAAUGUAAUUGACUUCUGAGCAUGACUUAAUUUUGAGAUCAUUACUUUUAGUUAAAUGAUCUCCUCCAGAGCUUCUACCUAUGUAGUGUUUUUAGACCUCUAUAGUUGAUAAAGCACGUUCAAGGUGAAGGCUUGUUUUCCAAUCUAUAGUCCAAUUAUAGACUGGAAAUGGUCAGGCUUAAUGCACCUUCAAAAGCUUCACAAUUUGUAUUGAAACCUUAAGCCUCAGAAUGCUACAAAUUUUAAAUCCAUAUACUUAGUGCUCUUAUGAUUUGUUUGAUUUUUACUUAGAUGAAGAGCAUUUUAGCUAUAGAAAACAUUGUAACUAAUUCAAAGCAUGCCUUAGCUACGAGAUCAUUCAUUCUAGCCAAAUGCCCCCUUUAGAGAUUCUGCUAUUGUUGUGUAUUCAGCCUCUAUAUUUGGCAAAGCAAUUACAUGUCGAAGGCUUGCUUUCCAGUUAACAGCGCAAUUACAUAGAUUAAAGGUGUAACCAGGCAAAGAACUUAGUUAUUCUGCCAAGGUCUCCAACAUACUCCAAAUCCAUAUAACCACCAGACUUCAAUCUUUAGACUCCAUAGAUCAAACCAUAACUUAGUGUGCCUUUCAAUCUCAGGUAACAUUUUACUGUUUUCCACGUCUUGCCAUGUACUUGCUGCUAACACUAACAAUUUGAGAAAUGUUAGGCAUCGUAAGCAGCCGACAACACUCUUCUUCAUUUCUUCAUUGUCAAUUUCCUUCUUGGAACAUUGCUCCAUUGAGAGUCUGCUAUCAUUGCUCCAAUUAUUAUUAUUUUUGUUUUUUUAAAAAAAAAAAUUAACCGUGCAAUAAGAGUAUAAGACUAAGCAACGGUCCUUUUUUUUUUCCCAUUCUUGAACAUGAAGUAUUUGAGUAUGCAAUAAAAAUUGUUUAUUGAUAAUUAAAAGUUAAUAGUGGGUGGCUUUAGGAUUUGUUUACAAAAUUGACAACAAAUUAAGAUUUUUCAAAUUCAUAGGUAAGAAACUUUUCAUUUAUUCAUAGAUUUUCCGGUUUAAACUUUAAAGGAAACUUAAAAGAAAAAGAUGUAUCAUUAGAUUUGUAAUUAAAAAAAUUUAAUAUUGUAUGAUCUGUUCGAUAUGCAUAAUUUAAAUAAACAUUAAUAUAGAUGUUAUAUAUCCUAAAACUUAAUUGACUUAAUUCUUACGGUGCAAGGAAGACGUUUCCAAGUUUAAAUCUAAUUUGGGGUCGGGAAAGCACUGGGAAAUAAAUGUAACAAAGGAAAAAAGAAAAGAAUGACAGUCUGAGUGGAGCCAACACGGUUUUGAAAAAAGUGCAAAAAAGGGUUUUAGGAUAUAUUCUAUUAUCGUUUGUUUGCUUGCUUGUGGAAAUAAAAGUCUCAUGUUUCUUUGAAAGGUAAGCAAGUGUGAAUGUUUCUAUCUAGAGCUGGAAAAUGCAUUUCCGUGCAACUUACUUGAUGAAUGAAGUUUUCAUCUCUGACCUUGAUGUUUCCCAGAGCUGCAUUCAUUUCAGCUGAUCUAUUUCAUUUCGUUUGCAAAGGAGUGACACAAAACCUCCUUUGUUAAGGGGAGAAUUUAGAGUGGCUUCAACGGUUAACAAAUAGCCUAAUGUAAGACUUAAUCAAUUUCCUGCCCGGUUGCUUACCACUACUUAUCACUUUAACGUAUGAAACCUAAUCAAGAUUCCUUUGAUGAUUUUUCUAUUUGCUAAUUGAUUGAUAAGCUCUUCAGUGAAGAUAUAGUGUCCGCAAGCCAUAUGUUGAUAGAGUUAGAGUUUGCAGAAGCUACUGUACCAUAUGUUGUUAGAGGCGGUAAAAACGGAGGCAGAUCAACACACAUUUAAAUUUCAAUGACAAUUUACUGGAAAUAAAUUUCCUAUGACCCUACAUGUGACUAAUUGAUGAGAACUUGACAAUGACAAAAGAAAGUGUAUGAGCUUUGCAGGCUGGCUUGCCAAUAUUGACUGUAUGGCACCAUCCGCAAGUAAGUAUCAUUACUGUUUAAUCAACUUGGUGGAGUCCACUGGGACCACCCCACAUGGUCAGUCUUAUCUCUACUCCUAAAUUUUCAAUAUUCCAUACAUCAAACCAAUUGCAGUUUUGAUAUCAAAUUCAAUUUUAUUGUUGGUGACGAUUCUGAUUCCUUUCAUUCUCACAAAACGGAACCAUGGUUGCUGUUGGAGAGAUCUUACUCAACGCCUUCCUUGAGGUGUUGUUUGACAGGUUGGCUUCUCGUAAUUUGCUCCGCUUUGUGCGUCAACUCCAAGGCGGGGUUGAUUCGGAGCUCAAGAAGUGGGAGAAAAAGCUGAAGAUGAUUCAGGCUGUGCUCUGCGAUGCAGAGGAGAAGCAACUGACCGAUGAGGCUGUGAAGAUGUGGCUGGACGAACUCCAAGACUUAGCUUUUGACGCUGAGGACAUUCUUGAUGAGUUUGCUACUCAAGCUUUGGAAAGCAAGUUGAUGGCGCAAAACCAGGAUAGCUCUGGCCAGGUUCUCAGUCUCAUCCCGGCUAGUUUGAAUCCGAAUGCUAUUAUGUUCAAUUAUAGCAUGGGGUCCAAGAUUAAAGAUAUGACUAGCCGGCUGGAGCAACUCUGCCAAGAAAGAAUUGAACUUGGACUGCAACGGCUUACUGGAGGGGCGUCAUCAACCGCUGCUGCUGCACACCGGAGGCCACCCAGUUCGAGUGUCCGAACAGAACGUGAAGUAUUUGGAAGAGAAGAAGAUAAGGCCAAAAUUCUUGAUAUGGUCAAUACCCCAAGUGAUCACGCCAACUUUGUUGUAAUACCUAUUGUUGGAAUGGGCGGGAUAGGAAAAACAACUCUUGCUCGGGAGGUCUACAAUGACAAGGCAGUUGAGGAUUCCAAGUUUGACGUAAAAGCAUGGGUUUGUGUCUCCGACAACUUUGAUGUUUUCAACAUUUCAAAGGCACUUCUCGAGUCAAUCACCUCCGCAGCUAGUGAUCUCAAGACUUUAAAUGAAGUGCAGGUUCAACUGAAAAAAGCAGUGGACGGAAAAAGAUUCUUGCUGGUCUUAGAUGAUGUUUGGAACGAGGACUACAGCUUGUGGGUAGACUUAAAAGCUCCGUUCCUGGGUGCUGCACCAAACAGUAAGAUGAUCGUCACCACACGCAAUUUAAACGUUGCAUCAACAAUGGGACCAAUUGAACAUUAUAAUCUCAAGAGUCUGUUAGAUGAUGAUUGCUGGUCCAUUUUCAUACAGCAUGCAUUUGAAGGUAGAGAUCUUAACGCAUAUCAAAUUUCAGAAUCAUUCAGCAAGAAAGUUGUUGGCAAGUGUGGGGGCUUGCCUCUGGCAGCAAAAACGCUCGGGGACUUCUGCGCACAACAAGGCAUGAUGCGUGGGACGAUAUAUUGGAUAGCAAAAUAUGGGAUUUACAUCAACAAAGCAGCAUUCUCCCUGUGUUAAGAUUGAGUUACCAUCAUCUUCCGUCUCAUUUGAAAAGAUGUUUUGCUUUUUGUGCCAUCUUUCCAAAAGAUUAUGCAUUCACUGAGAGGGAGCUGACUUUCUUAUGGAUGGCUGGAGGUAUUAUUCGACAGUCAAGAAACAAUGAGCAGCUGGAAGAUUUGGGCAGCAAGUGCUUUGGUGAUCUAGUGUCGAGGUCAAUUUUUCAGCAAACAGCAAGCUCUGAUAGUUCUAAAUUUGUAAUGCAUGACCUUAUUCAUGAUCUUGCUGAAUUGGUCUCUGGAGAAACCAUAUUCAGGUUAGAGGAGGCCAAUACUCGGUCAAGAAGAUUUGAAAGGGUUCGCCAUUCUUCCUAUGCUUGUGGUGGAUGUGAUGGUAAAAAUAUGUUCGUGGUUUUCAAUGAAAUUGAACAUCUACGAACAUUCUUGCCAUUACGCUUACGCAGAAGAGGUGGCUCUAAUGCUGGUUACAUAACUCGUACGGUUCUAUCUGAUUUGCUGCCGAAGUUCAAAAGGUUGAGAAUGCUAUCUUUACAAGGAUACUGUAUUGGUGAGUUACCAAUUCCAUUUGAAGAUUUGAGACUUUUAAGGUUUCUCAACCUUGCUGACACUGACAUAAGAAGUUUACCCGAGUCAACAUGCAAAUUGCUGAACUUGGAAAUUUUUAUAUUAAGAAAUUGUUCCCGUUUGAUAAAGCUUCCACCCAAAAUGAGGAAUUUGAUCAAUUUACGCCAUUUGGAUUUAAGAGGUGCGAAGUUGCUGAAGGAGAUGCCAUUCGGAAUGAAAGAGUUGAAGAAGCUUCAAACAUUGUCCAAUUUCAUCGUGGGCAAGGGCGAAACUGCAUCUGGUUUGGAAGAUUUAAAAUGUUUAAACUUUCUUUGUGAUGAACUCUGCAUUGCUGGAUUAGAGAAUGUGAAUGGUCCACAGAAUGCAAGAGAAGCCGCAUUAUGUGAGAAGCACAAUCUUGAAGCAUUGACUCUAGAAUGGGGGUCUCAAUCUGACGGUCCUCGGGAUGCAGUACUAGAAGAGAAGGUACUUGACACUCUACAACCUCAUGAAUGUAUAAAAGAGCUGGCAAUCAGGCACUAUGGUGGUGCAAGAUUUCCACCUUGGAUCGGACAGCAUUCGUUCUCCGAGAUGAAGGUCCUUAAAUUGGAGAACUGUGGCAAUUGUGUAUCUCUGCCAUCGCUUGGCCUGAUGAGUUCACUUAAGCACCUUGCUGUUAAAGGGCUGAAGAAAUUAAAAAGCCUAGAGUCUGAGGUUUAUGGGGAGGGUUUCUCAAUGCCUUUUUCGUCACUGGAGAUUCUAAGUUUUGAGAAUUUGCCAGAAUGCGAGCAUUGGGACACCAAUAUCAAAGGAAAUGUGCUUGUUGAAAUAUUUCCUCGUCUCCAUAAACUUUCCAUUGUGGAAUGUCCCAAACUCUCCGGAAAACUGCCUGAGCUCCUGCCCUCCUUGAAGACACUUGUUGUUAGUAAAUGUGAAAAGUUGGUAGUUCCAUUGUCUUGCUAUCCAAUGCUUUGCAGAUUAGAAGUUGAUGAGUGCAAAGAACUAGUCUGCCGGACUCCGAUUGAUUUUAAGUUGAUAAAGUCGGUGACUAUUUCAAAUAGUUCAUUAGACAUGAAUGGACGCAAGGGGAUGCUAUACGAUGGUCCAGCUGGCUCUUUACUGCCAAAGCCCAUGACUACUACAAAUGUUUUGGAGUUUGGAAAAUUAUUGAAGCCUGGAUUUCAGAUAUUAGAAACUUUGGUAAUUGGCAAUUCUGAACAGCUCAAGUCAUGGAGGCAGCAUGGGGAUUUUCCGAAAAAAUACAUGGUCACUGACCAUGGGUUUAAGAAACCAGUACGAGGGCUGAAUAUGCUCGCUUCCCCUGAGGAGGUAUCAAUUGAAGAAAGUUGCGUACGUCUUGUUUUGUUUCCAGAGAUCAAUUUCUUUCCCAGAAAUCUGCGCUCUCUUCUAAUUAACAACAGCACUGCUUUGAAAUCCUUACCCGAGGAAAUGAUGGAAAACAAUUCACAACUCGAAAGGUUGUAUAUCAAGGAUUGCGACUCUCUAACAUUCAUCGCAAGACGGAGGCUACCAGCAUCUCUGAAAAGGCUUGAGAUAGAAAAUUGUGAGAAAUUGCAACGUCUGUUCGAUGAUGAAGAGGAUGCUUCUUCUUCUUGUCCUUCAUCCUCGUCUUCCCCAGUGAUGCUGAAACACCUGAGAAUCGAUAACUGCCCAGAGCUCACCAGUUUAUCAUCGGGUGUCCAAUUCCUUGAGGCGCUUGAAGACCUCAAGAUAGGGCAUUGUCCAAAGCUGGAGUCAAUACCGGAUGGCCUGCCCAAUCUUAAAUGUUUACAGAGCAUUUAUAUACGGGAUUGUCCAAGUCUUGUUUCCUUCCCAGAAAGAGGGCUUCCCCACACCAUUUCAGGGGUUUUCAUUGCGAGUUGUGUGAAGCUCGAAGCCUUGCCCAAUGAUUUGCACAAACUCAACUCUCUUCGAGGUUUAAGCAUACAGCUCUGUCCAAAUCUUGUAUCGUUUCCAGAAGAAGGUUUUCCUACCAAUCUAACAACCCUUGUAAUUGAAAAAUUCAAAUUGUAUAAGACACUCGUCCAGUGGGGGUUGCACAGGCUUACCUCUCUUAGAGACCUCUACAUCAUUGGAUGUGAUGAUGAAGCAGAGUGUUUUCCAGACGAGGAGAUAGGAAUGACGCUGCCCACCUCUCUCACUCAUCUGUCCUUUUGUGGAUUCCAAAAUUUGAUAUUUCUGUCUUCAAUGGGUUUUCAAAACCUCACCUCUCUUCAAUCAUUCCCAGAGGUGGGCUUUCCAUCCUCACUUUGGGGCUUAGACAUUAGAUAUUGUCCAAAGCUCAAAACAGCGUGCAAAAGAGAUGAAGGAAAAGAGUGGUCCAAAAUUGCUCACAUCCCUCGCGUUGAGAUAGACGGUAAAUUCAUAUACGAUCCAGAAGCAGAGGAGUAGAUUCUACUAUUAAGGUCAGUUGAUUUGUAUUAUCCGCUAUAACAAGCUCCUCCUUUUUUAUUUUUUUUUUUGAAAUAAUAAUUUUGCAGUCACUCACGUGAUUCCGUUUUCACAAGUCAGAUUGUACGUUGAGGCUAUUUGCCUUUUAAUCGCAGAUUAAAUUAUAACACUUAUCUUAAAAUUUAAUACCAUAGACAGAUAGACGAUUUUUUAAUCCAAAGUUUUUUUUAUUCACUUCAGUUAGCAUUUUUUUUUUCCCCAAAUCAUGCAAGCCGAGAGUUUCAAUCAAGAAUUGGAGGAUGUGAAUGGGAAUUUUGUGAAAGAGUAACAUAAUGGAUGAACGAACAUUUCAUAUGUGAUCUCAAAGUCAACAGAAUUUUAUUCACUCGUUGACUUUUCAACUGCUGUGGUUAUUUAUGGGUGAAAGAUAAGGGCAAUUACAAAAAAUUUGCAAAAUUUGUCCAUUUCUUAGAUGGUAGAAAUUGGAGUAUAAUAUUUUGGAGCAAGCAUACUUGAAAUUUCUUUCUUCAAUAUUUUGAUGCUUUCUUAUCCCAUGCACAAAAAUACUAGAAAAAACUAAUAACAACUAACCGAAAAUCCCAGGCGUCAUAUUCCUUUUUACCGCGUUUUAAAAUGCACAACAAUGAUAUUCUUACAAAUUUGCAAAAUUUGUCAAUUUCUUAGAUUUCAGAUAUUUUAAUGCUUUUUUUAAUUUUUGAUCUAGUAAAAAUACAUAGCCUUCACCGGCAAGAUUCUAGUCUUGGAUUUCACCUCUCUAACUCAUCUGUUCCCAUUGGGAUUCCAGAAAUUGAAAUUUCUGUCUUCAAUGGGUUUUCAAAGCCUCGCCUCUCUUCGAUUUUUGUGGAUCGGGAAUUGCACAAAUCUCACAUCAUUUCCCGAGGUCGAGGAAAAGAGCGGCCCAAACUUGCUCGCAUCCCUUAUUAGGUUAUGAUAGAUGGAAAAUUCAUAUACGAUCCAGAGUCAGAGGUGUUGAUUCUCUUAUUAAGGUCAGCUGAUUUCUAUUAUCCACUCUGACAAUCUCCUAUUAGUGUUUUUCCUUUUGAAAUUUUUUUUCCAAAAUUUUGCAGUUCCGUAUAAUUGAAAAUGCCAUUCAGUUGUUUCCUAAUAGUAUGUUGAGGCUAUUUGCUUUCUAUCGGUGUUUGUUAAGGUAAUUAGUGCUCCCUCGUAGGUGUGACUGGAUUUUUUUCACUUCCGUAAAUAUUGCAUUUUAGACUGGCAAAUUUAGCAGUAAUUUUAAUACAAUUUUGUUGGUGCCUUGUGUUCCAGAAGCUAGAAAAAUGUGUAGUUUUCAGAUAAGGAGGCUUGUCAGUUCUCUAGUAAGAAUCCAAUGAUUUGCUUUUGCACGUCCAUCUAAUUUGUGGAUCCUUGCAUCAGAAUUUGAUCAAUCCAAAAGGAAUUGCUUUUAGACAGAAGAAGAAUAGCAGCACCUAGCCUACCCGCAAACCUGAAACUAUUAGAUUGAGGUAAAAAAAUCAUUGACCCUCACAUGUUAACUUCUUCUAGUUACUUUCGUUGGGAAAAAAAAAAACAUUUAAGGAAUUUGCAAUUUGUUGUUAGUUAUGGUAUCUGAUGUUCUUUUCUGCUUUAGCGUUUGUAGAAUCUACUGUAUUAUGUGUUGGCAGUUGCCGUAUCUAAGGUAACUUGCCUUUAUUUGUUUGCUUCUGACUUAAGGACACCAACAUUUGCCAGAGAUUUAGAGAAUCAUCUCAAAACACUUAGCAAACUUGACAAACUUCAAGAUGCACUUGCCCCCACGCCUUAUUCUCAACAACGCAAAACUUGUGAGUACACCUAUGCCUGCAAUUAUUGUGAAGUGUUCGCAAUUCUGAUGCAGAGAAAUGGUUUCUUGAUGCAAAGUAUUAAACUGUUAAGAUUUAUCCUGCAGGCUUGUUAGAUGCUGGAUACGCGAAAAGCCAACAACAUCAAGAACUGCAACUCCAAGACCAGCUUUGCGUUAAUUCAGUCAGCUGUAAUAAUGAUGCAAAUGACACUAUAUCAAGCUGGACUUAGAGACUAGUCAGAUAAAUCAUCCAUUUCAUCAACGGUUAAUGUCAUGAUGGUGGCUAUCAGAGGAAACAAAAGAUGUGUCGGAAUCUAUACAAACAUUGAGAAGCAUGAGAGGAGCUUUGAUUUUGAGUAGGGUCAAUGAACUCAUAUUGGUAAGUGGUAAUUAAAGAAACUUUGUAAGCUUAGUAGAGUUUCAGUAUUUUCUGUUUGGAGUAUAGUUGAUAAGUUGACUCUGUUUAAGAAGCCCGAUUAUAGUAGCUGACUGUAUUAACCUUUUUUUUUUUUUUUUGGGUCUGCUGUUGUUUUUGGUUUCGAUUAUUUUUUCAACAUUGGGUUGAUCUGUUGAAGAACAAGCUUGGGUUUGAUUAUGCUUUAACUACAAGGAAGAGCCAGACUUGGAUGCAGGCGUUAAGCUUUUAAUGGGUAAGAACAAAUGAAUGCUUUAACUAUGUUUCUCACUUAUUAAAAUGCACGGAUUGAAGGCAUCUGGGUUGAUCCUGACAAUGUGAUGGAAAUACUUCUCUGUUUUCAUAUAACAGGACAAAUAGAGAUCUCUGAUCAUGCCUGAAUUUUUGUUGCAUUGAAAUUUCUACCAUUAUCAAACAUAGAAUGAACUAGGGAUACAUUAGCUUAAGACUAAAUUUUGAGAAGGAAGUUUGUACUUGCAGCCUAUAAAAUCAUGUCCAUGUUGUACGUUUCUUUGGGAAAUGAAAGAUUCUGUGUGUUCUUUUAUUUCAAGUUCACUGAAAUCACAUUUGUUUUCUCAGCUGCUUUCCAGAAGGUAACAACAUCAAUUUCAAAAAUGCUGGGGCAAGAUGUAUCAUGCAGUGCAACUCAACUUGAGAAUUCCUGGCCACAUUACCCGUAUGUCUAAUGAUCGCACAGUACAACCUUGAGAAGCUUGUAAUGAGUACACAACUGGGUGCAAGUAGUUUUGAAAUGAAUUUGCCUCAAAUGAUUUCUUGCCGGUGAUUAAUAUAACCUCUAUUCCAAAAUUCUUGGAACUGGUCAUACUAGCAAUGAAGGAUUGCAUACAUUGAAGACAUAGCUGAAGGCCUUGCGAGAGCUCUGUCAGCCCUUGUACCGGAAAACAGCUGGUCGUAGUCGCUUGUGAAUGAUAUGAUUAAUAGAUACUGCAAAAAUGAAUUGUGCCAUACAUUUUCAGCGCUCUGUGAAGAUGUCUUGGUCAUUUGUUUGAUGCUUGUUUGAUUUAUGUUGUAUUCAGCCAUAAAUCAGAGAUUCAGAACUUGGGUAUGUUUCUGGUUUCCAAAUCAAAAAAUUGCCUUGUGAUGUUAGUGUUCACUGUUUUCACAGGAGAUCAGGUUCCUUGUUAAUGAAUCAAGAAGAAGGCAAGCGCAUCCAUGUCCAAGUUCAAAUGUGUCUCCUCUAUUUUCUAUUACCCACUCAUUUAUUUUGAUUUCUUCAUUGUAAUUGAAUUAGUUUUUUAUUCCAAAUUAGUCAAAACCUCGUAGAGUCAUUAAGUUCUUUUAGCAUUUAAAGACAGAACUACGAACCAAAUGAUUUAAGUUCUUCGUUGUAAUUGAAUUUGCUUUCCCAUCUUUAAAGAUAUUAUGUUCUUUUUCACUUUUUCGAUUUGGUUAGUGGUGAUUUCUUAAAGACUCAAUCCAUUUGCGUUAAUACAUUUUUCUUUUGCCUUGAUUUCUGUUUCUUGGGGAGUUUAUACAUAUUCUUAUUUUAUGCUACACAUGCCAUAUACAGAUUCUUAUUUUAUGCUUCACAUGCCACAUGAAAGGUCAAAGCCUUGUGUGUGAUUAGAAUUUACUGGCAUCAUAGUAACUUUAAACCAUUGUGACGUUUUAGUAAUAACAGUCUGAGCUCUCCCUGAAGGAUUCAAAGCAUUUUAUUUUAUAUUAUACUCCUUUAUAUGGUUUGGCUGGUCUCUUUUAAGGCAAUUCCUGUUUAAAGUAAUCAAAAUUUUGAUUUCGAAGUGUCUUUCAACACUACCGCUAGUUCUUUAAGAAAAGUAAAUCGAUUUUGAGUCUUCUGUAUCAUCUGAUUGAAAUACAUGAAAGCACUCUUAGCUGCAAAAGUACACUUGGAGUUAUAAUAGCAUUCUGAAAUCUCCUUGAAGGAUUCAAAAGCUCUUUAUUUGCUAGUCUUUGCUUGCAAUAAACUCCUUUAAUAUAGAUUGGUUGAUCUUCUUUAAAGCAAUUACCAUAAGUUCUUUAAAUAAUAAAACGACUUUGAGUCUUAUGUAUCAUCUUGUUGAAAUACAUGAAAGCACUCUUGGCUGUAAAAAUGCACUUGGGGUUAUAUAUAAAGUCUUCAACAGAAUUUUAUUUCCCCCUUUAUCCUCAUGGUGGUCUUUUUAGUUGUUUUUUAAGAAAUCGCUUGAAGGUUCUCUUUAAAAAUAAUUUUAACAUAAGCAUUCUUUAGAAGCACUUUAGAUGUCUGGCAUUUAGAAAAUUUUGUUCCUGUGUUCACAUAAUAUAAUAUAUAUAUAUAGAAAGCUGACUGUAGAAUAGAGGAGAACGAGUUGGUGUUGGUCUGAACUCUGAUCUUUGAAUCUCAUGUGACUCCACUACUUUUUACUUGUUCUGUACAAGGUCUUUUAGCUUUUCAAAAAGUUUUAGCUUUAUGGAUAAAAUACUGUUAAUUGUAAUCUAUAAAUAAUGAAAGGAAUUAAUAAAAUAUUUGGUAAAUUUUAUUUUCUAAAGUGUUAUGAGUUCUAAAACGGCUGUAUGUAUAUAAAUUUAUUUACACAUAUAUUUAUAAAUAUGAUUAUAUAAUAAUAUUUUAUGUGUACAUAUCAUAAUUGAUAACUAAAAUAAAUAUUUUUAUUUUAUUAAUGGUUUUUCCGUCUCAAUGUAGUUGGUAAUAAUAAUCUCUUUAGAUGUAACGAUUUUAUUUCCUAACUGAAUAAGGAAAAUUUUAGAUUUUUAUAAUAAAUGUUAAAUAUAUAUAGAAUUACAUUAAGUAUGAAAUAAUCCUCAAAAUUAGAUUUGAAAAGUUAUUCUUUUCUUGCUUUUAAAAAUAUGUCAUAUGAUGAGAUAAUUUUACUAAAAGUGAUUUUUUUUUAAAAAAAUUACUAAACAUCAAAAUUAACUCUUAACUUUUUAAAAUCAUUUCUAAUCUUCUCAUCCUAAGUUCUUUAUUGUUUUGUACAAAAUCCAAGGUUUUGACUUUUAUAAAAUGCCCACUCAAAAAUAAAUUAUUUUCUAAUUAAGAUUUGUUGUUAAUGUAUAACUCGAAGUAAUAUUAGAUAUUUGUAAUUUUAUUUCAAAAAUUUUAUUCAAAUGAUAUGGCAAGCAAUGAACAAUAGUUGAUAGCAAUUUUUUUUUUUUAACAAUGUUCAAAUCAAUCAGUUGCAUUAUCUCACCAUUUUUAUGAUGUCAUGUUAUUUUAAAUGAUUUUUUUAAUUUUUAUAUAAAACAUACGACGUGUUAACAUCAUUUGCAUAACUUGACCUUUUUUUUUUUCCUACAAAUAGUGUUUAAAAUUCAACACACAGAUGUGCCUCUUUCUUACUAUACUGGAAUCCUCGGUAAACUUUUUGUUUGCGCAAUUUAUGUGAGCAAAUUGUGUCUUCUUUUUCAUAUGUAAAUGUUUUUGAUAUCUUGAUGUGAAGGUAGAAAAUUGCAUGUUUUGAGUUUUUGCAUAUUUGAUGGAAACACAGAACCGUACCUGAAUAUUUCAGAACCCCCUUUUCUUUGAAGUUUGAACACUUUUCUUGAAUGUAUCAACUUUAUUUAUGGGAUAUGUUGCCAAAUUGGCAAAUCUAUUCGUUAUAAAACUUUCCUUUGACAGUUUAAUCUAAGCAGAUGUUAAUUCUGCAAAUAGAGUGUGCCUUAGAUUAGUUUCAUAGAUUUGUCUCCUUCUGUACAGUAAAAACUUUGAGCAUUUUCGCCAUAUUCUGAUCAAUACACUCCAACUAGUUAGUUCUUGAGGCGUUUUAUGGUUUCGUGGAGUGAGGCAAGAUGUAUACGUUUGCAAAUUGGCAAUGUCUUUUGCUUGAUGGGUUGAGAGUUGUGAGUGUCAACAGGAAACAAGACCUCUGUUUUAUGAACUCCAAAAAGUUAUUCUGUUAGAAAGAUCGAGACAGAGGCCAUACUAUAUUUAUUAUUGCUAUAAAAGUGUGAAAAAAUAUUCUUUAUUUAAUAUUCUAAACGAUUGAGCCAUUUAGUUAUGAUAUUCUGCUGUAUUGGGGCUAAUAAUCUAAGUCGGUUCAAAGUGGUAAAUUUAUAAAUUGAUAGGUAUGCCUGGUAUGACCGCUUACGUUGGAUUUUAUGAGGUCUGCUCUCCUAAGCAUGGAGAGUGUGUCUUCAUAUCAGCAGCAUCUGGUGCAGUUGGUCAGCUUGUGGGGCAGUUUGCAAAGUUAUUGGGCUGCUAUGUCGUCGGAAGUGCUGGAAGCAAAGACAAGGUAGGUUAUCUGUGUGAAGUACUUGAUUGUUUCCGUGUUACUUUCAAACAUUUAAAUUAAAAAGGAAAUUUUCAUAAUCUUGCCUUUUCUAUGAUUUUCAAAACCAAGGUUGAUCUACUGAAGAACAAGUUUGGGUUCGACGAGGCAUUUAACUAUAAAGAAGAAGCUGAUUUGAAUGCAGCAUUGAAAAGGUUAGCAUCAAUAAAUGCCUUAGCUUGAUGCAGCUUGAUGAAGUAUGAUACACAUUUCUGACCAAUAUACUGCGUUCCCUGAUCUCUUACUUGAAAUAUCUUGGUUUGAGAAUCUCAUGCCAAUGCCUUUAACAUUUUGGCAGGUACUUUCCUGAAGGAAUUGAUAUAUAUUUUGAAAACGUUGGUGGAAAAACGCUUGAUGCAGUGCUACCCAACAUGAAAAUCCGUGGUCGAAUUGCUGCAUGCGGUAUGAUCUCACAGUACAAUCUUGACAAGCCUGAAGGUGUGCACAACUUGAUGUAUCUUGUUUCGAAACGGCUUCGAAUGGAAGGAUUCAUUGUUCUCGAUCACUAUCACCUCUAUCCAAAGUUUCUGGAAAUGAUCAUUCCUCACAUCAAAGAAGGGAAGCUUGUAUACGUCGAAGACAUGGCUGAAGGUCUUGAGAGUGCUCCGGCAGCUCUCAUCGGUCUAUUCUCUGGCCAGAAUGUUGGGAAACAGGUGGUUGCUGUUGCUCCUGAAUGAAGAACAAGUUAGUGUUGCAGUUUGAAUGAUGCUGCUGCACAACUGCUGCCGAAAAAAUCCUUAAUAGAUGAUUAGCAAGGUUUCAAAAAUAAAAAGAAAUGUUUGUGCAACGUGCCGAAUAUGACAGCCACAAAGAAAGAGCAUACAAAUUGAUUGGUUUUAUGUCUUCUCUAGGAGAAAGCUACAAUACAAGAAAUUGUAUUGAUGGAGCCAUGGACCAAAUUUCUUAUUUAAACUUUUAAUUUUUUUUAUUAAAAUUACUUAUGUUAUUAUGGUUUAUAUUUUUAGAAAUUCUUUAGAAAUUAAUACAGAACUAGUAGCAAGUUGAGAAAUCUACUGAAUAGUCGAGAUAUGAUCAUGUUUAUUGAAUUAAAUUGACAAUCAUCAUUUUGAUAAAUUAUUGUUAGGAUAUUUGAUUCAUCACAGGUGUAAGUAACUAAAUGUGCUAAAAAAAAAGUUAAUGAGUUGUGAGUGUUUGAUAUUCGUUUGUUGUAAUUCUUUUAAUAAUUGUUGUGGGAAAAAAAUUAUGGUAAAAAAAUUAUAAUUAUAAAAUAAAAAUUAAUAAUAUAUUAUAAAUAAAAUUUUUAAAUAAUAAUUUUAAUAAAAUAAUAAAUAUAUUAUGAAUUUUUCAUUAUAAAUUUUUAAGUUAAAAUAAUAAAUAUUUAUUAAAUAUUUUAAUAGCACAACUUUUAAAUUAUAACAGUACAAUGUAAAUACCAGAGGUCUUAAAAAAUAAAAUUACAGUCAAGUUUUAAAACUGUUAAUAAUGCUAUUCAUAAAGGCGCUCGUCGUGUAAACAACACAUGGGACCCAACCAAUAAAUGUUUAUGAUCCUCAACUUUCCUCCUCACCGUCCCUGCAAACAAUUCUGAUCUUCUUGUCUGAGAAAAAAACUGAGAAACAAUGGCGGCCGAACAAGAAGCUGUGAGCAAUAAGCGGGUGAUUCUAAGCAACUAUGUGACAGGUUUUCCAAAAGAAUCGGACAUGAAGAUAACAUGUGGAUCAAUAAAACUGGAGGUAGCAGACGGUUUAAAAGACACGGUGCUUUUGAAGAAUCUUUAUAUUUCUUGUGAUCCUUACAUGCGAGAGCGUAUGAGCAAGCUUGAUAGACCUUCUUUUGUUGAUUCAUUCCAUCCUGGUGAGGUUAGUUCAUCACGACCCAUCUCUUGAUUUUUUUUUUUUUUUCAUUUGCUUCAAGUUUUGAUGAGUUUCUGAGGUCAUUUGUACGGUUUUGGAAUGUGAACACUAUUAGUGAUUUUGGGGCUGUAACUGUCAUUAAUGAUAUGUAGUAAUUCAAUCAGAAUUUGGAUUUAGUGCUGAUAUGAUCUCUGCUCAUUUUUUAAAAUCUUGUGUCCAGAUGCAUUUUUAUAAUCUUGUACGGUUGAGAUUGUAUGUAGAUUAAUCUACGUGCAGUAUUCUUGUCUAAUGACUACUAACCACAACCUUAUGAGACGAUCGAAACCAAGCUCAGAUCAAUAAUCCAAUUGAGAGAGGGUCCUAACUCAAGCUUAUCGUGUGUAGGAAUAUUUCGGUUAAAUUGUAAUUCUUUUAAUAAUUGUUGUGAAAAAAAAAAGUUAUGAUAAAAAAAUUAAUAAUUAUAAAAUAAAAAUUAAUUAUAUAUAAUAAAUAAGAUUUUUAAAUAAUAAUUUUAAUAAAAUAUAAUAAAUACAUUAUCAAUUUUUCAUCGUUAAUUUUUAAGUCACAACCACAAAUAUUUACUAAACACUUUAACACCAUAAUUAACACCACAACUAUUGAAUUAUAACUGUACAAUCUAGACGCCAAGAGGCCUUAGUAUGAAAAAAAAAAAUUACAGUUAAGUUAAAAUUCAUCAUACAGAUGUGCCACUUUCAUACUAUACCGGGAUCCUCGGUAAUGAUUUUUGUUACACAAUAAGAUUUGCUUAUAGUAAUAUCAAUACAUAUGCUGCUUAAAUGCUUUCUGAUUUUUUGCCGGCCAUUGUCCAUUUUGCCAGGGAGUCUAUAAUUGAAGGAAUUUACUGAAGGAAUGCUGAUUGUUGGGAAUUUGAUUAUUCUAGGUAUGCCUGGUGUAACUGCAUACGCUGGUUUAUACGAAGUUUGCUUUCCGAAGAAAGGAGAGUAUGUCUAUGUAUCUGCAGCAUCUGGAGCUGUUGGUCAGCUUGUUGGACAGUUUGCAAAAUUAGCUCGUUGCUAUGUUGUUGGAAGUGCAGGAAGCAAAGAAAAUAUAGCACCGUGCCUUCUAGCAGAAUUUUACUUGCUUUAUGUUCCAACUAAGCAUCCAUAUUUGAUCAUGAUAAUUAGCAAGGUCAAUAAUUUUUUUUUGACUAUUUUUUCAACGUAAGGUCGAUUUGUUGAAGAACAAGUUUGAACGAUGCUUUUAACUACAAGGAAGAGCCUGAUUUUGAUGCAGCACUCAAAAGGUCAGCUGCAACAAACGUUUCAACUCUAAUAUUUCAUUUUAAUAUUACAGAGCUUUGGUUGAAGUGUGUGAGUUGAUCCCAGAAACGUAACUUCAUCAGUGUCUCUGUUUUCAAAAAACAUGACAAAUAGAAAUCUGAUUUUGCUUUAAAAUUUCCCAGAUGCUUCCCUCAAGGAAUCGACAUAUAUUUCGAAAAUGUUGGGGGAAAGAUGCUGGACGCAGUGCUACUCAACAUGAGGCUCCGGGGCCGCAUUGCAGUAAGCAGUAUGAUCUCACAGUAUAACCUGGAAAAACCCGAAGGCGUACACAACUUAGAGCAACUGAUCGGGAAACGGAUUCGCCUGGAAGGAUUUCUAGCUGGUGAUUACUAUCACCUCUAUCUGAAAUUCUUGGAACUGGUCAUUCCUCCAAUCAGAGAAGGAAAGAUGCUGUAUGUGGAAGACAUGGCCGAAGGACUCGAGAAAAUUUCUCGUAACUGCUACACAUUAAACGCGUUUCACAUUUCCACUCUCUUUCUAUAAAUAAAUACGCACAUAAAAUUUCUCACCAUCCAAAAACAAAAUCUACAUAAAAAAUGGCGGGUGAAGAAGCAGUGAGCAACAAGCAGGUGAUUCUGAGCAACUACGUGACAGGGUUUCCCAAGGAAUCAGACAUGAAGAUAAUAACAGGCUCAAUAAACCUUAAGGUGCCAGAGGGUUCAAAAGACACAAUGCUUUUGAAGAAUCUUUAUCUUUCCUGUGAUCCUUACAUGAGAGGACGUAUGAGCGAGCUUGAUAAGCCUUCGUUUGUUGCCUCAUUCGAGUCUGGCGAGGUCAGUUACUUCAAUUCCCAUCUCUUGGUUUCAUAAUCUUUUAUGGUUUUAGAAGGUGUUUUAGGGAAACAUUGUGGUUUUGGUUAGUGGGCAUGAGUCUUUGAAGAGAUUAUAAUGUGUAGGACUAUGCAUGCAAUAAUAAGCAUAGGGGAUCUUGUUAGGAGAAGAUUCUCUUAGCAAAAUAAAAACUUUUAUCUUAUCAAAACAUAUGCAGGGAACUUAGUUAUGAUGUCAUGUUAGCAUUGUCUCUGAGGAUUUGAUUUCUUGAUGGGGAAAGGGGAAUUUAAGGUUACAUUAUUCAGCAAUGGUUUUUUUUUUAAAUUAUGUUCAAAUUAUGCAGCCUUUAAGCGGAUAUGGAGUGUCCAAAGUGUUGGAUUCCACGCCUCCAAAUUAUAAGAAAGAUGACUUGGGUGGUGUUUGUUUUUUAACUUAAUGACUUAAAGUGACUUAACUUAAUUAAUUAAGUUAAUUAGAGAUGUUUGUUUUUAUAACUUAAUGUGACUUUUUAAAUAAUUUUGACUUAAUAAAAUAAGCCAAUUUUAUUUACUUUUUACUUAAUAGAGACAUCUGAAUUAAGUCAAGUACUUUCUAAUGUCAAAAAUAUACAUGCUUUAUAAUUUAUUUUUCAUGUCUAUCCCAAAACUCACCCAUAGACAUUUACCCCACAUAAUAAUCUCAUCAUUAUUUUUUUAGCCGUCAUGAAAUCCCUCCUCACUUUGGUAUCAACUCCUCAACUAUUGAAGAUCAAAAUUACAUGCGACAACUUCGAGAUGAAUGGCAAAUCAACUGUUUCAAGCAUCUUAUUAGUUUUUUUUCUUUUUUAUAUUAUAUACGAUAAAAUUUGAAAUUUAUGGUAUUUUAUAUAUUAAAAUUCCAAAAUCAUUAUAUAUUCACUUGAAUAUAGUUUUACUUAUAAAUGUUAAAAUAUUGUGAUAUUUAAUAUAUUGUUUAUUUGACAUUCAAAUUUAAUAAGGAUACAAAUGUAAAAGUACAUAUUUUUCAGUUUUUUAAGUUGAAAAAAGAAAACAACUUAAUAAUUAUUUUUCGAGAUUCAGACGAAAAAACAAACAUAUUAUUCAGAUUCAGACAUUCAGAUCUAUUCAGAAUUUAGACUAAUUCAAGUCUAUUCAGAUUUCAGAUAAAAAAACAAACGCCACCUUGGUCCGGGGCUUAACCAGUUGGGAGGAGUUCAGUCUCAUCCAAUCACCACAACUUCUGAUUAAAAUUCUGGAUACAAGUGUGCCUCUGCCAUAAUUAAUUGACAGGUUGCUAUGUUGUUGGAAGUGCCGGAAGCAAAGAAAAGGUGAGUUUGCACCCUUAACCCUUACGCUCUAAAUAAAAACAUAACACCUUCUGAAAGAAUUGUGCAUAGAGAAUUUUGCAUGUCACAUUAUUUGUGUUCUAACUAAUCAUGGAUAUUUGAUCAUUAGUCUAACUAAAACUGACAUAUUACCACCUAGUUGACUGGUCUUUGAGAAAUGUUAGUUGAUAUAUGCUUGAAAUCAUACUUUGUUUUAUUAGAUGAUUAUAUUAACCUGCUUCUUUUUCUUUGUGCUGUUUCUCGUUUGAUUACAUUUUCAACAUUAGGUCGAUCUAUUGAAGCACAAGUUUGGGUUUGAUGAUGCCUUUAACUAUAAGGAAGAGCCUGACUUGGAUGCAGCUCUUAAUAGGUUAGCACGAAUGAAUGCUUUAACCAUUUUUCUCACUUCAUUAUUACAAUGCGCUGAUUGAAGUAAUCAGUGUUGGCUCUGAAAAUGUAACGUAUACUUCUCUGUUUUCAUAAAACAGGACAAACAGUGAUCAGUGAUCUCAUUCGUUACAUUGAUAUUUUCUACCAUUGCCAUACAUAGUAUAAACUAGGAAUUCAGUUGCUUAAUAGAUAUUCAUUUCAGAGGGAAAUUUUCACUUGCAGCUAACAGAAUCAUGUUUGUGAUGUAUGUUUAUUUGGGAAAUGAAAGGAUUUGUUGCAUUAUUUUAUUCCAAGUUUGCUGAAAUCAUAUUUGUUUUCCCAGGUGCUUUCCUGAAGUUAUCGACAUCUAUUUCGAAAAUUUUGGGGGUAAGAUGCUUGAUGCAGUGCUACUCAACAUGAGAAUUUGUGGCCGCAUCGCUGUAUGCGGAAUGAUCUCACAGUACAACUUUGAGAAGCCUGAAGGUGUACACAACUUGAUGCAAGUAAUUGGAAAACGAAUUCGCAUGGAAGGAUUUCUUGCCAGUGAUUUCUACCACCAAUAUCCAAAAUUCUUGGAACUGGUUAUGCCGGCAAUCAAAGAAGGAAAGUUAGUAUAUGUCGAGGACAUAGCUGAAGGCCUCGAGAAAGCUCCAUCAGCCCUAGUUGGGAUAUUCACAGGUCAAAAUGUUAAAAAACAACUGGUUGUAGUUGCUCGGGAAUGAUAUGAUUACUAUAUGCUUUAAAAAGUGGACUUUGCCAUGCACUUUAAAACCUUAGUGAAGAUGCCUUUGUCUUAUUUUUGAUACAUGUUAUGUUUGUUUGAUCAAGUUGUACUCAGCUAUAAAUCAAAGAUUCAGAACAUGUGUAUGAUACUGGUUUCUAAAUCAAUGAACGCCUUGAAAUGUUAGUGUUUUCACAGGAGAAUGCAAUUUAAUUCAUCAACAAUGUCCCAACAAGACCCUCAGAGCUGUAGCUUGUAAAGUUAAUUACGAUAUUUUUUUGUAAAGUAAAUUACCAUAUUUUUUUCUUUCCAAUAUAUUGCUUAUUUCAUAGAAAGUUUACAUUAAAGUCUCAUGUUUCUUUGAAAGGUAAGCAAGUGUGAACGUUUCAAUCUAGAGAUGGAAAAUGCAUUUCCGGGAACUUACUUGAUAAAUGAAGUUUUCAUCUCUGACCUUGAUGUUUCCCACAGGUGCAUUCAUUUCAGCUGAUCUAUAUAAUUUUGUUUUCGAAGGAGAGACACAAAAUCUCCGUUGUUAAGGGGAGAAUUUAGAGUGGCUUUGACUGUUAACAAAUAGCCUAAUGUAAGACUUAACCAACUUCCUGCCCUGUUGUAUGCUUAUGAAUUUUGAUAGAGCUAAGAGUUUGCAGAAGCUAUUGUAUUAUAUGUCGUUAGAGGCUGUAAACAUCAAACACAUUUAAAUUUCAAUGAAAAUUUACUGGAAGUAAAUUUCCUUUGAUCCCACAGGUGACUAAUUAAUGAGAACUUGACAAUGACAAAAGAAAGUGUAUGAACUUUGCAGGCUGGCAUGCCAAUAUUGACUGGGUGGCACCAUCCACCAUCUGCAAGUGAAUAUCAUUGUUGUUUAAUCAACAAGGUGGAGUCCACUGGGACCACACCACAUCGUCAGCCUUAUCUCUAUUCCUCAAUUUUCAGUAUUCCAUACAUCAAAACAAUUUCAGUUUUGUUAUCAAUUAUAAUUUCAUUGUUGGUGACGAUUCUGAUUCCUUUCUUUCUGACAAAACGGAACCAUGGUUGCUGUGGGAGAGAUCUUACUCAACGCCUUCUUUCAGGUGUUGUUUGACAGGUUGGCUUCCCGUGAUUUGCUCAGCUUUGUCCGUCAACUUGGAGGCGGGGUCGAUUCCGAGCUCAAGAAGUGGCAAAGAAAGCUGAAGAUGAUUCAGGCGGUGCUCAACGAUGCAGAGGAGAAGCAACUGACUGACGAGGCUGUGAAGAUGUGGCUGGACGAUCUCCAAGACUUGGCUUAUGACGCUGAGGACAUUCUUGAUGAGUUUGCUACUCAAGCUUUGGAAAGCAAGUUGAUGGCGCAAAAUCAGGAUAGCUCUGGCCAGCUUCUCAGUUUCAUCCCGGCUAGUUUGAAUCCGAAUGCUGUUAGGUUCAAUUAUAGCAUGAGGUCCAAGAUUAACGAUAUUACUAGCCGGUUGGAGCAACUCUGCAAAUAUAGAAUUGAACUUGGGCUGCAACGGAUUCCUGAAGGGGCAUCAUCAACUGCUGCUGCUGCACACCAGAGGCCACCCAGUUCAAGCGUCCCACCAGAACGUGAAGUUUUUGGUAGAGAAGAAGAUAAGGCCAAAAUUCUUGAUAUGGUAUUGGCCGAUAGCCCAAGUGAUCAUGCCGACUUUGCUGUAAUACCCAUUGUUGGCAUGGGCGGGAUAGGAAAAACAACUCUCGCUCGGGAGGUCUACAAUGACAAGGCCGUUGAACAUUCCAAGUUUGAUGUAAAAGCAUGGGUUUGUGUAUCUGAUGUCUUUGACGUUUUGGGCAUCUCAAAGGCGCUUCUCGAGUCAAUCACCCGCAGGCCAUGUCUUCUAAACAGUUUAAACGAAGUGCAGGUUGAAUUGAAAGUAGCUGUGGAUAAAAAAAGAUUCUUGCUGGUCUUAGAUGAUGUUUGGAACGAGGACUACAGCUUGUGGGUAGACUUAAAAGCUCCGUUCCUGGGUGCUGCACCAAACAGCAAGAUGAUCGUCACCACACGCAAUUCAAGUGUUGCAUCAACAAUGAGACCCAUUGAUCGUCACCACACGCAAUUCAAGUAUUACGAUCUCAAGAGUCUGUUAGAUGAUGAUUGCUGGUCCAUUUUCAUAAACCAUGCAUUUGAAUCUACAGACCUUAGCGCACAUCGAAUUUCAGAAUCAUUCCGCGAGAAAGUUGUUGGCAAGUGUGGGGGCUUGCCUCUGGCAGCAAAAACACUCGGGGGCCUUCUUCGUACUAAAACGCAUGCUGAGUGGGACGGUAUAUUGGAUAGCAAAAUAUGGGAUUUACCUCGGCAAAGCAGCAUUCUCCCCGUGUUAAGAUUGAGUUACCAUCAUCUUCCUUCUCAUUUGAAAAGAUGUUUUGCUUUUUGUGCCAUCUUUCCAAAAGAUUAUGCAUUCACUGAGAGGGAGCUGACUUUCUUAUGGAUGGCUGGAGGUAUUAUUCGACAGUCAAGAAACAAUGAGCAGCUGGAAGAUUUGGGCAGCAAGUGCUUUGGUGAUCUAGUGUCGAGGUCAAUUUUUCAACAAACAGCAAUCUCUGAUAGUUCUAAAUUUGUAAUGCAUACUUGAAAUUUCUGUCUUCAAUAUUUUGAUGCUUUCUUAUCCCAUGCACAAAAGUACUAGAAAAAACUAAUAACAGCUAACCGAAAAUCCCAGGCGUCAUAUUCCUUUUUACCGCGUUUUAAAAUGCACAACAAUGAUAUUCUUACAAAUUUGCAAAAUUUGUCAAUUUCUUAGAUUUCAGAUAUUUUAAUGCUUUUUUUAAUUUUUGAUCUAGUAAAAAUACACAGCCUUCACCGGCAGGAUUCUAGUCUUGGCUUUCACCUCUCUAACUCAUCUGUUCCCAUUGGGAUUCCAGAAAUUGAAAUUUCUGUCUUCAAUGGGUUUUCAAAGCCUCGCCUCUCUUCGAUUUUUGUGGAUCGGGAAUUGCACAAAUCUCACAUCAUUUCCCGAGGUCGAGGAAAAGAGCGGCCCAAACUUGCUCGCAUCCCUUAUUAGGUUAUGAUAGAUGGAAAAUUCAUAUACGAUCCAGAGUCAGAGGUGUUGAUUCUCUUAUUAAGGUCAGCUGAUUUCUAUUAUCCACUCUGACAAUCUCCUAUUCGUGUUUUUCCUUUUUAAAUUUUUUUUCCAAAAUUUUGCAGUUCCGUAUAUUGGUGUUUGUUAAGGUAAUUAGUGCUCCCUCAAUAUUGCAUUUUAGACUGCCAAAUGUAGCAGUAAUUUUAAUACAAUUUUGUUGGUGCCUUGUGUUCCAGAAGCUAGAAAAAUGUGUAGUUUUCAGAUAAGGAGGCUUGUCAGUUCUCUAGUAAGAAUCCAAUGAUUUGCUUUUGCACGUCCAUCUAAUUUGUGGAUCCUUGCAUCAGAAUUUGAUCAAUCCAAAAGGAAUUGCUUUUAGACAGAAGAAGAAUAGCAGCACCUAGCCUACCCGCAAACCUGAAACUAUUAGAUUGAGGUAAAAAAAUCAUUGACCCUCACAUGUUAACUUCUUCUAGUUACUUUCAUUGGGGAAAAAAAAACAUUUAAGGAAUUUGCAAUUUGUUGUUAGUUAUGGUAUCUGAUGUUCUUUUCUGCUUUAGCGUUUGUAGAACCUACUGUAUUAUGUGUUGGCAGUUGCCGUAUCUGAGGUAACUUGCCUUUAUUUGUUUGCUUCUGAGUUAAGGACACCAACAUUUGCCAGAGAUUUAGAGAAUCAUCUCAAAACACUUAGCAAACUUGACAAACUUCAAGAUGCACUUGCCCCCACGCCUUAUUCUCAACAACGCAAAACUUGUGAGUACACCUAUGCCUGCAAUUAUUGUGAAGUGUUCGCAAUUCUGAUGCAGAGAAAUGGUUUCUUGAUGCAAAGUAUUAAACUGUUAAGAUUUAUCCUGCAGGCUUGUUAGAUGUUGUAUACUCGAAAAGCCAACAACAUCAAGAACUACAACUCCAAGACCAACUUUGCGUUAAUUCAGUCAGCUGUAAAAAUGAUGCAAAUGACACUAUAUCAAGCUGGACUUAGAGACUAGUCAGAUCAAUCAUCCAUUUCAUCAACGGUUAAUGUCAUGAUGGUGGCUAUCAGAGGAAACAAAAGAUGUGUCAGAAUCUAUACGAACAUUGAGAAGCAUGAGAGGAGCUUUGAUUUUGAGUAGGGUCAAUGAACUCAUGUUGGUAAGUGGUGAUUAAAGAAAUUUGUAAGCUUAGUAGAGUUUCAGUAUUUUCUGUUUGGAGUAUAGUUGAUAAGUUGACUCUGUUUAAGAAGCCCGAUUAUAGUAGCUGACUGUAUUAACCUUUUUUUUUUUGGUCUGCUGUUGUUUUUGGUUUCGAUUAUUUUUUCAACAUUGGGUUGAUCUGUUGAAGAACAAGCUUGGGUUUGAUUAUGUUUUAACUAUAAGGAAGAGCCAGACUUGGUUGCAGGCGUUAAGCUUUUAAUGGGUAAGAACAAAUGAAUGCUUUAACCAUGUUUCUCACUUAUUAAAAUGCAUGGAUUGAAGGCAUCUGGGUUGAUCCUGACAAUGUGAUGGAAAUACUUCUCUGUUUUCAUGUAACAGGACAAAUAGAGAUCUCUGAUCAUGCCUGAAUUUUUGUUGCAUUGAAAUUUCUACCAUUACCAAACAUAGAAUGAACUGGGGAUACAUUAGCUUAAGACUCAAUUUUGAGAAGGAAGUUUGUACUUGCAGCCUAUAAAAUCAUGUCCGUGUCGUACGUUUCUUUGGGAAAUGAAAGAUUCUGUGUGUUCUUUUAUUUCAAGUUCACUGAAAUCACAUUUGUUUUCUCCGAUGCUUUCCAGAAGGUAACAACAUCAAUUUCAAAAAUGCUGGGGCAAGAUGCAUCAUGCAGUGCGACUCAACUUGAGAAUUCCUGGCCACAUUACCCGUAUGUCGAAUGAUCGCACAGUUCAACCUUGAGAAGCUUGUAAUGAGUACACAACUGGGUGCAAGUAGUUUUGAAAUGAAUUUGCCUCAAAUGAUUUCUUGCUCGCAUCCCUUGGGUUAUGAUAGAUGGAAAAUUCAUAUACGAUCCAGAGUCAGAGGUGUUGAUUCUCUUAUUAAGGUCAGCUGAUUUCUAUUAUCCACUCUGACAAACUCCAAGACCGGGUUUUUUUUUUUUUUAAUUUUGCCGUUCUGUAUAAUUGAAAUGCCACUCACUUGUUUCCUUCUUCACAGGUCCGAUAGUAUGUUGAGGCUAUUUGCUUUUUAUCGGUGUUUGUCAAGGUAAUUAGUGCUGCCUCAUAGGUUGAUUACUCACAGAUGAAAUCAUAACUUUUAUCUUAAAAUUUAAUAGCAUACACAGAUAGAUGAUUUUUAGUCCAAAGUUUUUUUAUUCACUUCAAUCAAAAUUUUAGAUUGCAGAUUUUUGUCAAGUAUUUCAUUACAAUUUUUUCAUUUUUUAUUUUAAACCAGAAUAUGAGUAUAACAUUUUGGAGCGUGCAUACUCUGAUGCAUGCAAUUAACUGUUUUUAAUCAUUGGAUUUUGAAAUUAAUAAUGGUAAGAUGUGUACUUAUUCUGUCUUCCAACAACCUUGGCCUCUUUCUUCGGUCGCAUAUCUAAUGAAUAUUUCUCUGUUUAGUUAAGGAUGAAUGCUUGGAGUGGGGUACUUGGUAACAUUUCUGCCUCAGAUGAAUCCUUGAAGAAAUGCCCGCAGUUCCUGAGACCAAAUACAGGUCUGAUUCAAAACAGCACCUUUCUCAGAAAAUAUGAUCCAAGGCAAAGUCAUGUUCUGAUAAUGUUUCCUUAAGUACAAAGUUGCAAGGAAACUUGAUUCAUUAACUACAGUUUUUUAUUUUUAGGACCUUGUAUCUGAAAGGUUCAGUGUUUUUUUUUUUUCAAAUUUAUUGUUCAGAUCUCAGAGGAGUAUAUGGUUUAGAUUACAAAACACCCAUGAUUAAUUUCAUUUUUUUUUUUUUAUUUCAGGGAGAAGAAGUGGUCAGUUUCAAUCCGGAAUUGGAAUAUGGCAAUUUGGUUCAAGCACACACACCUGGUCACUUGGUCAGUGAACCUGAACUUUACGCAGUUUUUUCAACUCAGUGAUUUUUGGAACGCAUAGUGGUGUAAGGAAAUCAAAAGAAAUUUAUGCAUAGUCAAAUUCUGAUAUUUGCUAUAUAUUAUACAUUCUAAAGUUUCUCCAGUUUGUUCUCAGAUUACCAUCAUUUUUUGCCUUCACCAAAAAAAAAAAAUUGAGUGGCUUUCCAGUGGAUAUUUAAUCGGAGGUAUGACUGGAUUUUUUUCACUUCUGUAAAUCUUGCAUUUUAAACUGGCAAAUUUAACUUUAAUUUUAAUACGACUUUGUUGGUGCCUUGUGCUCCAGAAACUAGAAAGAUGUGUAGUUUUCAGAUAAAGGGGCUUGUAAAUUCUCUAGUAAGAAUCCAAUAAUUUGCUUUUGCACGUUCAUUUUAUUUGUGGAUCCUUGCAUCUGAAUUUAAUCAAUCCAAAAGGAAUUGCUUUUAGACAGAAGAAGAAUAGCAGUACCUAGCCUAUGACAUAGUAUAUGGACCUGCAAACCUGAAACUAUUAGUUUGAGGUAAAAAAUUCAUGACCCUCACAUGUUAACUUUCAUGAAAAACACAUUUAAGAAAUUUGCAAUUUUUUGUUAGUUUCGUAUCCGAUGUUGUUGCAUCACAGUAACUUUAAACCACUGCGACAUUUUUAUAAUAACAGUCUGAGAUCUCCCUGAAGGAUUCAAAGCAUUUUAUUUUAUAUUAAACUCCUUUAUGUGGGUUUCGACACUACCACAAGUUCUUUAAAUACUAAAACGAUUUUAAGUCUUUUGUAUCAUCUUAUUGAAAUAUAUGAAAGCACUCGUGGUUGCAAAAAUACAGUUGGGGCUAUUUCUAAAGUCUUCAACAGCAUUUUCUUUUUAACCUUUAUCCUCAUGGUUGUUUUUGCAGUUGUUCUUUAAGAAAACAUUUAAAAGGUUCUCUUUAUGGAUUUUUGAAAAUAAUUUUAACAUUAGCAAUUUUCAGAAGCACUUUAGAUGUCUGGCAUUUAGAAAAUUUUAUUCCGGUGUCACAUAAAAUACUUAGGAAGUUAAAUUUAUUUAUUUAUGAGCAUGUGCCAGUGCCCUGUGGCAUCCUCUUCACUUGUGAUAGUCAAAUAUAUUAUACGAUACAAUAUUAGCUUGACUGUAGCACAGAGGAGAAUAGGGUUGGUGUUGGUCUGAACCAGCUUAUGUAACAGCUGCCAAAAGGAUAAUUUAAUUGUACUUUGAGUAAAGCUUUUGCGAAUUAAACAAGUGAUAAUUUGUUUCUAUUAAGAAAAACUUAAAGGAUAGGGCUAUUUUAACUCACCAAACUACACAUUAAAAAUCCACUUACAAAAAUAGUUUUUAAUUAUUAAAAUAUUCCUAAAUUAAAUUAUAAUUAUGGACACUAAAAUAUAAUUUUUUUUAUAUUUUACUUUUUGAAACUGUCUUUAUAUUCGAUAUUAUAUUUUUUUUCUUAAACUCUAAAUUGAUAUUUUUUUAUUAAUUUUAAAACACAUAUAAAGUGAUUUAUAUUGAUUUUAUACUAACAAACUAUUAUAGCACAUUCGAAAAAUAAUUAAAUCGUUCUUAUUUACAUAGUGAAAAUGCAAAUAGCUCAUUCAAAUGUUAAGGAAUUGGAGAGCUGCUGCUGGAGAUGAAAGAUGUGAAUUAAACAUCAGAGAAAAAAUUAUGUUCACUAUCUUGCCAGACCAAGCACCGAAGAGCGUCGUAAAGAAAAAUUAGAUAAUUUAGAAGAUAAAGCACGUGGAAUGGAGGCAGAAAGCAAGUAAUGAUAACUCUUUCGACAAACUAAUAUAUACCAAAAUGCAAUAUCGGCCCUAAUAAAAAAUGAAAAUAAAAAUUCAUUACGAAUACUUGUUAAAGAUAUCCCAAGUAUAGAUGUGACUGAAAUAUUUGAGAUUGAAGAAGAAUUAAGACUCAAAAUCAAUUGGGAGGAAUAAAUGAGAAACCCCAAUACCAAAAAAUACACGCACAAAUCCUAAUACUAAUUGUAAUCACGGAUAAAAAGCAUAAUACGAAUAAAUUACAUGGGCAACUAUUCCAUUGAGAAAUUAAUUAAAUCGUGUAUUAAUAUUUUGUAUACAUAUAUUUUUCUAUACAUAACUUUCGGUAAUUUAGUUUUCCACUUAUCAUUUUUACUCCAAAAAAGUAAUUGAGAAUAUUAUUUAUGUUUUGGUACAAAAUAUUUGAACAAUAUACAAAUUUUCAGUUUAAUAAAUCUAAACAUCUAUUAAGUUAUAAAUGAAUUUAAUGGGUUUAAUUAAUAAAAUUACUAUUAUUAUAUAAAUUGGGUUUAGUAAUGGUAUAUUGGGUGGGUUUGUUGAGUAAAUUUUAAAAUUUUGAAAUUUAAGGAUGAAUUUAUUUAGUAAAUGAAUUCAGGGAGUAAUUUGUUGGGAUUCACAUAGCCCCACCAAAUUCAAAUGUAAAAUUUUUGGAAAAAGAAGCUAUUGAGUUAUUCUAAAAAAUAAUUAAAAUGUCAAGAAUACCUUUAUUUAAUUUUAUAAUCUUAUUUUAUAGUCAUAUUUUAUUUCCACCUUAACAUAAUUUUAAAAACCUUAACUAAUAAAUUCUAUAUUUUUUUUUAUAAAAGUUAUCAUUAAUAUCCAAACGGCUACAGAUUUUUUUUUUUUAAAAAAAGGAACUAUGCUUACAAAAGUUGUAUACAUUAACAAUAAAUUUAGUCCAAAGAAUAAAGUUAUUCCAAACAAGCACUCUAAUUCAUCUUGCUAAUGAAUCAAGAUGACUGAAUCCUUCUCUGAGCCAAAUCUAUUUUCACUUUUAGGUCAGAAAUUGUCAUUAAAAAAGUGUUUGAUAAAAUAUGCUCUGGGAACACUAAUUCGUCAGAUGGUUACUCCAAGUUUAUGAAAUCAAUGGGAUUUCAUCAUAUUCAUAACAUUCUUCUUGAAUGUCUAUUCUAACAAAGAAAUCAUAUACAGAGAAUAGGUUUCGUUAAAACUUUUUCUAGAAAAACUAACCACAAUUCAUCAUUCAUUUAUCUCUUAAGUAAGCGUAAGAUUUUAUCAUUAAAAUCCCAUCAUGAAAAAACUCAUGGGAGAAAAACUAUAAAAAUUGAAGAAAAAAGAGUAUGGCGUGCAUGUAAAUUAUAUCGAUUUUAUCUACAUGACAAAUAAGACUCUCUUUUACAAUGGCACGGAUGCUUCAUUGAGUAAUCAUGAUUCUUGCUGGUAGUGCUUUGUUGUAUCAAUCUGCUAGCUAUUCAGCGUUCUUUCUUUCUUUCUUCUUAUUUUUUUGUUUUCAAAUAGCUUGUGGUUGUAGAAAUAUUUCAAUUAAACUAUACUUAAGUACUUAUUUGGUAUAACUUCUUUACUAACCAAAAGAAUUUUUUUUUUUGGUUUUUUAUAAUUUAAUUAUACUUUAACUAGAGUUUUUGGGAUAAAACAAGUGAUAAUUUCUCUCUAUUAAGAAAAACUCAAAGGGUAGGGCUAUCUCAAUCCACCAAACUAUUUAUUAAAAAUCCACUUAUGAAAAUAAUUUUUAAUUAUUAGAAUGCGUUUACAUUAAAUUAUAAUUAUGGACACUAAAAUAUAAUAAAUUUUUUUUUUACUCUUUAAAAUUGUCUUUACAUUUGAUAUCAUAUCUUUUUCUUAAAAUCUAAAUUGAUAUUUUUAUUUUAUUUUUGAUUAAUCUUAGAACACAUAUAAAGUGAUUCAUAUUGAUUUUAUACUAACAAACUAUCACAGCACAUUCGAAAAUAAUUAACUCGUUCUUAUUUGCAUAGUGAAAAAGGCAAAUAGCUCACCCAAAUGUUAAGGAUAUGAAAAGCAUGGUCAAGAAAAAUUGCAUAAUUCUCACUUAGAAGAGAGGUAGCCGCCACCACCACCAGUGAAACUAUUUCACAUAAUAGAAGAUAAAGCACGCGUAAUGGAGGCAAAAAGCAAGUAAUGAUAACUCUUUUCGACGCACUAAUACAUAUCAAAAUGCAAUAUCGGUCCUAACAAAAUGAAAAUAAAAAUUCAUUACGAAUAUGUGUUAAAGAUAUCUCAAGUAUUGAUGUGAUUGAAAUAUUUGAGAUUGAAGUAGAAAUAAGACUCAAAAUUAAUUGAGAGGAAUAAAUGAGAAACUCUAAUACUAAUAAAAUAUAUUCACAAAUCCUAAUGCUAAUUAAAAUCACGGAUUAAAAAAAAUAAUAUGAAUGAAUUACAGGCGCAACUGUUUCAUUAAGAAAUUAAUUAAAUCGUGUAUUAAUAUUUUGUACACAUACAUUUUUCCAUAUAUAACUUUUGGUAAUUUAGUUUUCCACUUAACUUUUGGUGAAAAAAAUAAUUGAGAAUAUUAUUUAUGUUUUGAUGCAAAAUAUUUAAACAACAUAAAAAUUUUCAGUUUAAUAAAUCUAAACAAUUCUCAAGUUAUAAAUGAAUUUAAUGGGUUUAAUUAGAAAAAAUACUAUUAUUUUAUAAAUUGGGUUUAGUAAUGGUAUAUUGGGUAUUUAAAUGGGUUUGUUGAGUAAAUUUUAAAAUUUUAAAGUUCAAGGGUGGGUUUAUUUAGUAAAUGGGUUAAGGCAGCAAUUUUCCAAACUAAAUUUUUGGAAAAAGAGGUUAUUGAGUUUUUUUUUUUAAGAAAAAGAAUUAAAAUGUUGAGAAUACCUUUAUUUAAUUUUAUAAUCUUAUUUUAAAAAAUUUACCCAAUAAAUUUGAUAAUUUUUUAUAAAAAUUAUCAUUAACAUCCAAACAGCUGAAGAUUAAAAAAAAAAAAAAAGAAGGGAACUGUACUAGCAAAAGUUACAUUAACAAUAAAUUUAGUCCAAAGAAUAAAGUUAUAGCUAAAAAGUGCUCCUAUCCUAUUUUUCUCUAUUUUAACAAUAAUCUUCCAAUCCGUUUUACAAUGGACUUUAACAAAUGGGCUCAAUUAACAAGAUUGAUCAAGAAUUAACAAGACAAGAUGAAGAGAUGAUCUUGUAACUAAGAAUGAAGAAAUUACGCACAAAGCAGUAAAUUUGUAAAACCAGAAUUGGAGCUUCACUUCUCAAGAGAGACGAAACAGGAUACAAUCUAGCUUUGGUCAACUUCGUUUGGCCACGUCAUAAAGUCUCCCCACAGUCUUUCCCGCCAAAACAGAAAAGCUUUAAAAGCCAUUUACCUUCCUGAGUUACUUGCUCCUAUUACAUCAAGGCCCUGGAAGUCUAUAUUUAUUAUUACAAAAGCACUCUUAGGGUGCGUUUGGAAUUGAGGUGUUGUAGUUUUUAAGCUACAGCUGUUGUGAAAAAAAACUGUAAUUAUGAAAUAAAAGUUAAUAAUAUAUAGUAAAUAUAAAUUUUAAAUAAUAAUUUUAUCAAAAUUAUUAAAGAUAUAAUAAAUUUUAUAUUAUACAAGUGAAAAAUUAUAUCAACAUAGCUUAAAAGCUACAGCAGUUAAUGUUUACCAAACACUUUAGUGCUGUAGCUUUUAAGCUUCAGCUGCCCAAUCUCAAUCGCAAACGCACCCUUAAACCGAGAUCGAAGCGCAUGAUUUCAUUACAAAGCAUUCGCAAAGAAAUUGUUUUUAAAUGAAACUCCUCGUCUUGACCAGAUUAUUUAUUAUUAUUCAAAAACAAAUGCUCAAAGCUUAGCCAAAGUGAUAAACUCGUAAUUAUUCUACAAAGGGAACAAUUUUGAACGGUGGGAAAUUCCAUAAUUAUGCUUUUCUGUGAAUUAUUUUAAAUAAAAUUAUAAAAACCAAUAUAAAAUUAUUACCCAGUAAAGACUUUAGAGAGACAAAUGUCCCCAACAGGAUCAAGUGAAUAUGCCCCACAAAGAUCACAUGAUCAUUUCUUGUUCUUUUUCUUUUGGACAAUUUUAGACAAUAUAAAAGAAAAAAUAUUAAAUUUUUUUAACCGAAUUAUUUUGACUCAAUUUGGUUCAUAAUUUUUUAAACCAAAUGGAACCCUCAUAACAAAAAACUAACGGAAACAAUAAGAACACGAUGUUAAAAUCUUAAAUCAAUCGCAAAAAAGCACCCAAAACAGAUCGAUUAGGAACAGUUAACAACAAAAGAUUUGAUGGUUCAAAAUCAUAAUGUGACCUACUUCCAUCCAAGAAUUAUACUAAUUUCUUUACUAGUUGUCAAAUACAAGAUCACAAGAUUAUUUAUCACUCUAUAGAGAAAAACUUUUUAGAAGAAAUACUCCCCAAUUUUUCUCUUGAUAGUUAUGAAUCAACACCCCUAGAAAGGCUAUUGAUUUAUUUUUCCUUAUUUCAUAUGAUCGGUUGCUGCAACUUAAUCCUUGCCAAGUUCCAACAUAGUCCAAACAUUUUUCAUGGUACAUGCAUAGUGCACCUUCAGAAACUUUACAGCUCUUCUUAAAACCUCAGUUCUCGUGAUGUUUCUGAUUUAUUUUUGGGACGAGUAACACUUUUGUUGAACCUAGACCAGAUUUAGUAUCCAAUCAAGAAUUUCCAGGAUCUAGCUGAACUCUCUAAUCAAGACCUAAAGAAUAGUUAAUCAAAUCCACACAAAAGAAUCACCCAAAAACAGUAUACAAAGAACAACAAAUAUAAGUGGUUUUGAGAUAAAUGUAAUUGACUUCUGAGCAUGACUUAAUUUUGAGAUCAUUACUUUUAGUUAAAUGAUCUCCUCCAGAGCUUCUACCUAUGUAGUGUUUUUAGACCUCUAUAGUUGAUAAAGCACGUUCAAGGUGAAGGCUUGUUUUCCAAUCUAUAGUCCAAUUAUAGACUGGAAAUGGUCAGGCUUAAUGCACCUUCAAAAGCUUCACAAUUUGUAUUGAAACCUUAAGCCUCAGAAUGCUACAAAUUUUAAAUCCAUAUACUUAGUGCUCUUAUGAUUUGUUUGAUUUUUACUUAGAUGAAGAGCAUUUUAGCUAUAGAAUACAUUGUAACUAAUUCAAAGCAUGCCUUAGCUACGAGAUCAUUCAUUCUAGCCAAAUGCCCCCUUUAGAGAUUCUGCUAUUGUUGUGUAUUCAGCCUCUAUAUUUGGCAAAGCAAUUACAUGUCGAAGGCUUGCUUUCCAGUUAACAGCGCAAUUACAUAGAUUAAAGGUGUAACCAGGCAAAGAACUUAGUUAUUCUGCCAAGGUCUCCAACAUACUCCAAAUCCAUAUAACCACCAGACUUCAAUCUUUAGACUCCAUAGAUCAAACCAUAACUUAGUGUGCCUUUCAAUCUCAGGUAACAUUUUACUGUUUUCCACGUCUUGCCAUGUACUUGCUGCUAACACUAACAAUUUGAGAAAUGUUAGGCAUCGUAAGCAGCCGACAACACUCUUCUUCAUUUCUUCAUUGUCAAUUUCUUUCUUGGAACAUUGCUCCAUUGAGAGUCUGCUAUCAUUGCUCCAAUUAUUAUUAUUUUUGUUUUUUUUUAAAAAAAAAAUAACCGUGCAAUAAGAGUAUAAGACUAAGCAACGGUCCUUUUUUUUUUACCCAUUCUUGAACAUGAAGUAUUUGAGUAUGUAAUAAAAAUUGUUUAUUGAUAAUUAAAAGUUAAUAGUGGGUGGCUUUAGGUUUUGUUUACAAAAUUGACAACAAAUUAAGAUUUUUCAAAUUCAUAGGUAAGAAACUUUUCAUUUAUUCAUAGAUUUUCCGGUUUAAACUUUAAAGGAAACUUAAAAGAAAAAGAUGUAUCAUUAGAUUUGUAAUUAAAAAAAUUUAAUAUUGUAUGAUCUGUUCGAUAUGCAUAAUUUAAAUAAACAUUAAUAUAGAUGUUAUAUAUCCUAAAACUUAAUUGACUUAAUUCUUACGGUGCAAGGAAGACGUUUCCAAGUUUAAAUCUAAUUUGGGGUCGGGAAAGCACUGGGAAAUAAAUGUAACAAAGGAAAAAAGAAAAGAAUGACAGUCUGAGUGGAGCCAACACGGUUUUGAAAAAAGUGCAAAAAAGGGUUUUAGGAUAUACUCUAUUAUCGUUUGUUUGCUUGCUUGUGGAAAUAAAAGUCUCAUGUUUCUUUGAAAGGUAAGCAAGUGUGAAUGUUUCUAUCUAGAGCUGGAAAAUGCAUUUCCGUGCAACUUACUUGAUGAAUGAAGUUUUCACCUCUGACCUUGAUGUUUCCCUGAGCUGCAUUCAUUGCAGCUGAUGUAUUUCAUUUUGUUUUCGAAGGAGUGACACAAAAUCUCCUUUGUUAAGGUGAGAAUUUAGAGUGGCUUUAACUGUUAACAAAUAGCCUAAUGUAAGACUUAAUCAACUUCCUGCCCUGUUGUAUGCUUAUGAAUUUUGAUAGAGUUAUGAGUUUGCAGAAGCUACUGUAUUAUAUGUUGCUAGAGGCUGUAAAAAUGAGGCAGAUCAAACACACAUUUAAAUUUCAGUGACAAUUUACUGGAAGUAAAUUCCUAUGACCCUACAUGUGACUGUGUGGCACCAUCCGCCAUUUGGAAGUGAAUAUCAUUAUUCUUUAAUCAACAUGGUGGAGUCCACGGGGACCACACCACAUGGUCAGUCUUAUCUCUAUUCCUCAAUUUUCAGUAUUCCAUACAUCAAAACAAUUUCAGUUUUGUUAUCAAUUAUAAUUUCAUUGUUGGUGACGAUUCUGAUUCCUUUCUUUCUGACAAAACGGAACCAUGGUUGCUGUGGGAGAGAUCUUACUCAACGCCUUCUUUCAGGUGUUGUUUGACAGGUUGGCUUCCCGUGAUUUGUUCAGCUUUGUCCGUCAACUUGGAGUGGGGGUCGAUUCCGAGCUCAAGAAGUGGGAUAGAAAGCUGAAGAUGAUUCAGGCGGUGCUCAACGAUGCAGAGGAGAAGCAACUGACUGACGAGACUGUGAAGAUGUGGCUGGACGAUCUCCAAGACUUGGCUUAUGACGCUGAGGACAUUCUUGAUGAGUUUGCUACUCAAGCUUUGGAAAGCAAGUUGAUGGCGCAAAAUCAGGAUAGCUCUGGCCAGCUUCUCAGUUUCAUCCCGGCUAGUUUGAAUCCGAAUGCUGCUAGGUUCAAUUAUGGCAUGAGGUCCAAGAUUAACGAUAUUACUAGCCGGUUGGAGCAACUCUGCAAAGAUAGAAUUGAACUUGGGCUGCAACGGAUUCCUGAAGGGGCAUCAUCAACUGCUGCUGCUGCACACCAGAGGCCACCCAGUUCAAGCGUCCCACCAGAACGUGAAGUUUUUGGUAGAGAAGAAGAUAAGGCCAAAAUUCUUGAUAUGGUAUUGGCCGAUAGCCCAAGUGAUCAUGCCAACUUUGUUGUAAUACCCAUUGUUGGCAUGGGCGGGAUAGGAAAAACAACUCUCGCUCGGGAGGUUUACAAUGACAAGGCCGUUGGAGAUUCCAAGUUUGAUGUAAAAGCAUGGGUUUGUGUAUCUGAUGUCUUUGACGUUUUGGGCAUCUCAAAGGCGCUUCUCGAGUCAAUCACCCGCAGGCCAUGUCUUCUAAACAGUUUAAACGAAGUGCAGGUUGAAUUGAAAGUAGCUGUGGAUAAAAAAAGAUUCUUGCUGGUCUUAGAUGAUGUUUGGAACGAGGACUACAGCUUGUGGGUAGACUUAAAAGCUCCGUUCCUGGGUGCUGCACCAAACAGCAAGAUGAUCGUCACCACACGCAAUUCAAGUGUUGCAUCAACAAUGAGACCCAUUGAUCGUCACCACACGCAAUUCAAGUAUUACGAUCUCAAGAGUCUGUUAGAUGAUGAUUGCUGGUCCAUUUUCAUAAACCAUGCAUUUGAAUCUACAGACCUUAGCGCACAUCGAAUUUCAGAAUCAUUCCGCGAGAAAGUUGUUGGCAAGUGUGGGGGCUUGCCUCUGGCAGCAAAAACACUCGGGGGCCUUCUUCGUACUAAAACGCAUGCUGAGUGGGACGGUAUAUUGGAUAGCAAAAUAUGGGAUUUACCUCGGCAAAGCAGCAUUCUCCCCGUGUUAAGAUUGAGUUACCAUCAUCUUCCUUCUCAUUUGAAAAGAUGUUUUGCUUUUUGUGCCAUCUUUCCAAAAGAUUAUGCAUUCACUGAGAGGGAGCUGACUUUCUUAUGGAUGGCUGGAGGUAUUAUUCGACAGUCAAGAAACAAUGAGCAGCUGGAAGAUUUGGGCAGCAAGUGCUUUGGUGAUCUAGUGUCGAGGUCAAUUUUUCAACAAACAGCAAUCUCUGAUAGUUCUAAAUUUGUAAUGCAUACUUGAAAUUUCUGUCUUCAAUAUUUUGAUGCUUUCUUAUCCCAUGCACAAAAGUACUAGAAAAAACUAAUAACAGCUAACCGAAAAUCCCAGGCGUCAUAUUCCUUUUUACCGCGUUUUAAAAUGCACAACAAUGAUAUUCUUACAAAUUUGCAAAAUUUGUCAAUUUCUUAGAUUUCAGAUAUUUUAAUGCUUUUUUUAAUUUUUGAUCUAGUAAAAAUACACAGCCUUCACCGGCAGGAUUCUAGUCUUGGCUUUCACCUCUCUAACUCAUCUGUUCCCAUUGGGAUUCCAGAAAUUGAAAUUUCUGUCUUCAAUGGGUUUUCAAAGCCUCGCCUCUCUUCGAUUUUUGUGGAUCGGGAAUUGCACAAAUCUCACAUCAUUUCCCGAGGUCGAGGAAAAGAGCGGCCCAAACUUGCUCGCAUCCCUUAUUAGGUUAUGAUAGAUGGAAAAUUCAUAUACGAUCCAGAGUCAGAGGUGUUGAUUCUCUUAUUAAGGUCAGCUGAUUUCUAUUAUCCACUCUGACAAUCUCCUAUUCGUGUUUUUCCUUUUUAAAUUUUUUUUCCAAAAUUUUGCAGUUCCGUAUAUUGGUGUUUGUUAAGGUAAUUAGUGCUCCCUCAAUAUUGCAUUUUAGACUGCCAAAUGUAGCAGUAAUUUUAAUACAAUUUUGUUGGUGCCUUGUGUUCCAGAAGCUAGAAAAAUGUGUAGUUUUCAGAUAAGGAGGCUUGUCAGUUCUCUAGUAAGAAUCCAAUGAUUUGCUUUUGCACGUCCAUCUAAUUUGUGGAUCCUUGCAUCAGAAUUUGAUCAAUCCAAAAGGAAUUGCUUUUAGACAGAAGAAGAAUAGCAGCACCUAGCCUACCCGCAAACCUGAAACUAUUAGAUUGAGGUAAAAAAAUCAUUGACCCUCACAUGUUAACUUCUUCUAGUUACUUUCAUUGGGGAAAAAAAAACAUUUAAGGAAUUUGCAAUUUGUUGUUAGUUAUGGUAUCUGAUGUUCUUUUCUGCUUUAGCGUUUGUAGAACCUACUGUAUUAUGUGUUGGCAGUUGCCGUAUCUGAGGUAACUUGCCUUUAUUUGUUUGCUUCUGAGUUAAGGACACCAACAUUUGCCAGAGAUUUAGAGAAUCAUCUCAAAACACUUAGCAAACUUGACAAACUUCAAGAUGCACUUGCCCCCACGCCUUAUUCUCAACAACGCAAAACUUGUGAGUACACCUAUGCCUGCAAUUAUUGUGAAGUGUUCGCAAUUCUGAUGCAGAGAAAUGGUUUCUUGAUGCAAAGUAUUAAACUGUUAAGAUUUAUCCUGCAGGCUUGUUAGAUGUUGUAUACUCGAAAAGCCAACAACAUCAAGAACUACAACUCCAAGACCAACUUUGCGUUAAUUCAGUCAGCUGUAAAAAUGAUGCAAAUGACACUAUAUCAAGCUGGACUUAGAGACUAGUCAGAUCAAUCAUCCAUUUCAUCAACGGUUAAUGUCAUGAUGGUGGCUAUCAGAGGAAACAAAAGAUGUGUCAGAAUCUAUACGAACAUUGAGAAGCAUGAGAGGAGCUUUGAUUUUGAGUAGGGUCAAUGAACUCAUGUUGGUAAGUGGUGAUUAAAGAAAUUUGUAAGCUUAGUAGAGUUUCAGUAUUUUCUGUUUGGAGUAUAGUUGAUAAGUUGACUCUGUUUAAGAAGCCCGAUUAUAGUAGCUGACUGUAUUAACCUUUUUUUUUUUGGUCUGCUGUUGUUUUUGGUUUCGAUUAUUUUUUCAACAUUGGGUUGAUCUGUUGAAGAACAAGCUUGGGUUUGAUUAUGUUUUAACUAUAAGGAAGAGCCAGACUUGGUUGCAGGCGUUAAGCUUUUAAUGGGUAAGAACAAAUGAAUGCUUUAACCAUGUUUCUCACUUAUUAAAAUGCAUGGAUUGAAGGCAUCUGGGUUGAUCCUGACAAUGUGAUGGAAAUACUUCUCUGUUUUCAUGUAACAGGACAAAUAGAGAUCUCUGAUCAUGCCUGAAUUUUUGUUGCAUUGAAAUUUCUACCAUUACCAAACAUAGAAUGAACUGGGGAUACAUUAGCUUAAGACUCAAUUUUGAGAAGGAAGUUUGUACUUGCAGCCUAUAAAAUCAUGUCCGUGUCGUACGUUUCUUUGGGAAAUGAAAGAUUCUGUGUGUUCUUUUAUUUCAAGUUCACUGAAAUCACAUUUGUUUUCUCAGCUGCUUUCCAGAAGGUAACAACAUCAAUUUCAAAAAUGCUGGGGCAAGAUGUAUCAUGCAGUGCGACUCAACUUGAGAAUUCCUGGCCACAUUACCCGUAUGUCUAAUGAUCGCACAGUACAACCUUGAGAAGCUUGUAAUGAGUACACAACUGGGUGCAAGUAGUUUUGAAAUGAAUUUGCCUCAAAUGAUUUCUUGCCGGUGAUUAAUAUAACCUCUAUUCCAAAAUUCUUAGAACUGGUCAUACUAGCAAUGAAGGAUUGCAUACAUUGAAGACAUAGCUGAAGGCCUUGCGAGAGCUCUGUCAGCCCUUGUACCGGAAAACAGCUGGUCGUAGUCGCUUGUGAAUGAUAUGAUUAAUAGAUACUGCAAAAAUGAAUUGUGCCAUACGUUUUCAGCGCUCUGUGAAGAUGUCUUGGUCAUUUGUUUGAUGCUUGUUUGAUUUAUGUUGUAUUCAGCCAUAAAUCAGAGAUUCAGAACUUGGGUAUGUUUCUGGUUUCCAAAUCAAAAAAUUGCCUUGUGAUGUUAGUGUUCACUGUUUUCACAGGAGAUCAGGUUCCUUGUUAAUGAAUCAAGAAGAAGGCAAGCGCAUCCAUGUCCAAGUUCAAAUGUGUCUCCUCUAUUUUCUAUUACCCACUCAUUUAUUUUGAUUUCUUCAUUGUAAUUGAAUUAGUUUUUUAUUCCAAAUUAGUCAAAACCUCGUAGAGUCAUUAAGUUCUUUUAGCAUUUAAAGACAGAACUACGAACCAAAUGAUUUAAGUUCUUCGUUGUAAUUGAAUUUGCUUUCCCAUCUUUAGAGAUAUUAUGUUCUUUUUCACUUUUUCGAUUUGGUUAGUGGUGAUUUCUUAAAGACUCAAUCCAUUUGCGUUAAUACAUUUUUCUUUUGCCUUGAUUUCUGUUUCUUGGGGAGUUUAUACAUAUUAUUAUUUUAUGCUACACAUGCCAUAUACAGAUUCUUAUUUUAUGCUUCACAUGCCACAUAAAAGGUCAAAGCCUUGUGUGUGAUUAGAAUUUACUGGCAUCAUAGUAACUUUAAACCAUUGUGACGUUUUAGUAAUAACAGUUUGAGCUCUCCCUGAAGGAUUCAAAGCAUUUUAUUUUAUAUUAUACUCCUUUAUAUGGUUUGGCUGGUCUCUUUUAAGGCAAUUCCUGUUUAAAGUAAUCAAAAUUUUGAUUUCGAAGUGUCUUUCAACACUACCGCUAGUUCUUUAAGAAAAGUAAAUCGAUUUUGAGUCUUCUGUAUCAUCUGAUUGAAAUACAUGAAAGCACUCUUAGCUGCAAAAGUACACUUGGAGUUAUAAUAGCAUUCUGAAAUCUCCUUGAAGGAUUCAAAAGCUCUUUAUUUGCUAGUCUUUGCUUGCAAUAAACUCCUUUAAUAUAGAUUGGUUGAUCUUCUUUAAAGCAAUUACCAUAAGUUCUUUAAAUAAUAAAACGACUUUGAGUCUUAUGUAUCAUCUUGUUGAAAUACAUGAAAGCACUCUUGGCUGUAAAAAUGCACUUGGGGUUAUAUAUAAAGUCUUCAACAGAAUUUUAUUUCCCCCUUUAUCCUCAUGGUGGUCUUUUUAGUUGUUUUUUAAGAAAUCGCUUGAAGGUUCUCUUUAAAAAUAAUUUUAACAUAAGCAUUCUUUAGAAGCACUUUAGAUGUCUGGCAUUUAGAAAAUUUUGUUCCUGUGUUCACAUAAUAUAAUAUAUAUAUAGAAAGCUGACUGUAGAAUAGAGGAGAACGAGUUGGUGUUGGUCUGAACUCUGAUCUUUGAAUCUCAUGUGACUCCACUACUUUUUACUUGUUCUGUACAAGGUCUUUUAGCUUUUCAAAAAGUUUUAGCUUUAUGGAUAAAAUACUGUUAAUUGUAAUCUAUAAAUAAUGAAAGGAAUUAAUAAAAUAUUUGGUAAAUUUUAUUUUCUAAAGUGUUAUGAGUUCUAAAACGGCUGUAUGUAUAUAAAUUUAUUUACACAUAUAUUUAUAAAUAUGAUUAUAUAAUAAUAUUUUAUGUGUACAUAUCAUAAUUGAUAACUAAAAUAAAUAUUUUUAUUUUAUUAAUGGUUUUUCCGUCUCAAUGUAGUUGGUAAUAAUAAUCUCUUUAGAUGUAAUGAUUUUAUUUCCUAACUGAAUAAGGAAAAUUUUAGAUUUUUAUAAUAAAUGUUAAAUAUAUCUAGAAUUACAUUAAGUAUGAAAUAAUCCUCAAAAUUAGAUUUUGAAAAGUUAUUCUUUUAUUACUUUUAAAAAUAUGUCAUAUGAUGAGAUGAUUUUAUUAAAAGUGAUUUUUUUUUAAAAAAAUUACUAAACAUCAAAAUUAACUCUUAACUUUUUAAAAUCAUUUCUAAUCUUCUCAUCCUAAGUUCUUUAUUGUUUUGUACAAAAUCCAAGGUUUUUACUUUUAUAAAAUGCCCACUCAAAAAUAAAUUAUUUUCUAAUUAAGAUUUGUUGUUAAUGUAUACCUCGAAGUAAUAUUAGAUAUUUGUAAUUUUAUUUCAAAAAUUUUAUUCAAAUGAUAUGGCAAGCAAUGAACAAUAGUUGAUAGCAAUUUUUUUUUUUUAAACAAUGUUCAAAUCAAUCAGUUGCAUUAUCUCACCAUUUUUAUGAUGUCAUGUUAUUUUAAAUGAUUUUUUUAAUUUUUAUAUAAAACAUACGACGUGUUAACAUCAUUUGCAUAACUUGACCUUUUUUUUUUCCUACAAAUAGUAAGUCAAAUUUACUCACCCUAUUUCUACCUAAAACUCAUGCAUCACUGUAAAACAAAUCCAAAGAUUGCGAUACGUUUUUCUUGGCAAGAAAUCAAUAAUUAGGUCAAGUACUACUACUAAGCGUGCACAAUUAAUUCUAAAAUACGGUGAUCAAAAUCAUACUUGACGCAAGAGGAUAAGGGCUGAACUUCAAUUAGGCAUUAUUCAUCCAAAAUUCAUUGACUCGGCAUUCUUUGCAAGUUGUAGCAUGGGACAGCUAAGAUAAUUAGCAAAUGAUAUGGACCAUAUGCACCCAUACAUUUCCUUUAAUGCCAACUCUUCAUUGAAUGAUUAUCAGAUCCAAUACGCAUCCUUUGAUUGGAUUAUUUUAAGUCAAUUAUUGGUGGAUUGGGGCCCACUUGACUCUACCAAAUCGGGCUCCACCAUAUCACCUAUUAACGACCACCUGUCCUUAUCAUAAAUAGCAAAUGUCACUUGUUUUAUUUUGUAUUUUACCAAAAGCAAAGUCACUAUGAACCCAAAUGAAAGUGACCUCAAUUUUGGGGGUCAUGAACUUUGGAUUAUUAUGGACACAAGAGACAAGCGCAAUGUUUCUCAUUUAUCACUGGAUAAGAUUUAAGUUAUCAACCCAAUAUUAAUAAAUUCUGCUUGAAAAGUAAAGUUUGAAGCUUCAUUUUGCGAAUAUUCAAUGGUUAACAUUUAAGUAAUUAACCUGAUAUUAAUCUAAUUAAACUUUUUAUGUUAUCCAAGUCAAACAUAUAUUGAUAAACCUAAAUUAAUCUAAUUGGACAUAUUAUUUCAACUUGAAAAGGUGAAUCUAUCAUUUUUCAAUUAAUUUUGAAUCAAGCUAUGUAAAAUAUAAGCUUAUUAAAGACAUAUUUGAAAAAUUCAAAUUGAAUUAUUUGACAAUUACAUUUCAACUAAGUUGUACUGCUAAUUAACUUCCUCAACUUAAAAUGUAUUGUUCUCAAUUAAUUCGUAACAAAGAAUGUUAGAUGUUUUGUUCGAAUAAUAACAUUCAACAUCCUUAUUCUUUAUGAUUAUUGCAUAAAAAACAUAUUUUAUCCAUUUACGUCACUAUCGAAAACUUUGAACAGUCAAUACAAAUGCUUCCGUUUCAUCCCAUAAACAAAUAAAAUUCACAUCUGUACACAUCUACUUUGCUUUGCUAGAUAGAGUUCCUCUGCAUUUCCCAAUUGCCUAAAGAGAAGGGGAAAAGAAAAAGAGGGCCAAAAAAUGCCUGAAAUGGUAAGGAACAAGCAAGUGAUAUUGAAGAACUAUGUGUCUGGUUUCCCAAAAGAAACAGACAUGCACAUGACCGAAAGUUCCAUAGAAUUGAAGGUGCCAAAAGGUUCAAAUGGGGUUCUUUUAAAGAACUUGUACUUGUCCUGUGAUCCGUACAUGCGACCAAGAAUGACCUACAUCGAAGGAUCUUACGUUGAAUCCUUUAAACCUGGCUUGGUUAGUGCACUCGCUCAUGGCCACGCUUUUCAUUUCCAUGGCUUCUUGCUCUUUUGUUAUAGAAAAUUUAUUUUUGGUUGCAGUUUGGUUCGACUGCUAAAAUCUCGUGCGAUAAUUGUAUAAGAUAUCUAGAGUUUGAACUUCUUUCACAUUAGGGUUCAAGGAAGUUAACUUAAAUGAUUUUCAAAAUUUUAAAUGUGUACCAAUGAAUUUAAUUUCAUAGCUUAAACUUAUAUUUUGAUCAUACUCUAACUUUGGACAGGAAAAAUUAUAUUUUUCCUUUAGUUCUUUGACUUGGAGUAUGUUGUGUGAAGUACUUGUGCUUGAAAAUGAAUUGCUGACACAGAAAUUUCUAUGAAUGCAUGCAGCCCAUAAGUGGAUAUGGGGUGGGUAAAGUUUUGGAUUCAGAGAAUCCAGAGUUCAACAAAGGUGACUUGGUUUGGGGAAUGACUGGAUGGGAAGAGUAUAGUCUCAUUACGGCUCCACACUUGUUUAAAAUUCAACACACAGAUGUGCCUCUUUCUUACUAUACUGGAAUCCUCGGUAAACUUUUUGUUUGCGCAAUUUAUGUGAGCAAAUUGUGUCUUCUUUUUCAUAUGUAAAUGUUUUUGAUAUCUUGAUGUGAAGGUAGAAAAUUGCAUGUUUUGAGUUUUUGCAUAUUUGAUGGAAACACAGAACUGUACCUGAAUCUUUCAGAACCCCCUUUUCUUUGAAGUUUGAACACUUUUCUUGAAUGUAUCAACUUUAUUUAUGGGAUAUGUUGCCAAAUUGGCAAAUCUAUUCGUUAUAAAACUUUCCUUUGACAGUUUAAUCUAAGCAGAUGUUAAUUCUGCAAAUAGAGUGUGCCUUAGAUUAGUUUCAUAGAUUUGUCUCCUUCUGUACAGUAAAAACUUUGAGCAUUUUCGCCAUAUUCUGAUCAAUACACUCCAACUAGUUAGUUCUUGAGGCGUUUUAUGGUUUUGUGGAGUGAGGCAAGAUGUAUACGUUUGCAAAUUGGCAAUGUCUUUUGCUUGAUGGGUUGAGAGUUGUGAGUGUCAAUAGGAAAGUCUCAAAGUGCGCAGUGCUCACUUGAGCACCCAUAUUACUUGGUGACCUGUUGCCUCAGCAAACAGGACCUCUGUUUUAUGAACUCCAAAAAGUUAUUCUGUUAAAUAGAUCGAGACAGAGGCCAUACUAUAUUUAUUAUUGCUACAAAAGUGUGAAACAAUAUUCUUUAUUUAAUAUUCUAAACAAUUGAGCCAUUUAGUUAUGAUACUCUGCUGUAUUGGGGCUAAUAAUCUAAGUCGGUUCAAAGUGGUAAAUUUAUAAAUUGAUAGGUAUGCCUGGUAUGACCGCUUACGUUGGAUUUUAUGAGGUCUGCUCUCCUAAGCAAGGAGAGUGUGUCUUCAUAUCCGCCGCAUCUGGUGCAGUUGGACAGCUUGUGGGCAAAGUUAUUGGGUUGCUAUGUCGUCGGAAGUGCUGGAAGCAAAGGCAAGGUAUGUAAUCUGUGUGAAGUACUUGCUUGUUUCCAUGUUACUUUCAAACAUUUAAAUUAAAAAGGAAAUUUUCAUAAUCUUGCCUUUUCUAUGAUUUUCAAAACCAAGGUUGAUCUACUGAAGAACAAGUUUGGGUUCGACGAGGCAUUUAACUAUAAAGAAGAAGCUGAUUUGAAUGCUGAUUGUUGGGAAUUUGAUUAUUCUAGGUAUGCCUGGUGUAACUGCAUACGCUGGUUUAUACGAAGUUUGCUGUCCGAAGAAAGGAGAGUAUGUCUAUGUAUCUGCAGCAUCUGGAGCUGUUGGUCAGCUUGUUGGACAGUUUGCAAAAUUAGCUGGUUGCUGUGUUGUUGAAAGUACUGGAAGCAAAGAAAAGGUGCUGUUAUAACAUUCUUAAGUAGUAAAUAUAGCACCGUGCCUUCUACCAGAAUUUUACAUGCUUUAUGUUCCAACUAAGCAUCCAUAUAUGAUCGUGAUAAUUAGCAAGGUCAAUAAUUUUUUUUUGACUAUUUUUUCAAUGUAAGGUCGAUUUGUUGAAGAACAAGUUUGGACGAUGCUUUUAACUACAAGGAAGAGCCAGACUUGGAUGCAGCACUCAAAAGGUCAGCUCCAACAAACGUUUCAACUCUAAUAUUUCAUUUUAAUAUUACAGAGCUUUGGUUGAAGUGUGUGAUUUGAUCCCAGAAAUGUAACUUCAUCAGUGUCUCUGUUUUCAAAAAACAGGACAAAUAGAAAUCUGAUUUUGCUUUAAAAUUUCCCAGAUGCUUCCCUCAAGGAAUCGACAUAUAUUUCGAAAAUGUUGGGGGAAAGAUGCUGGACGCAGUGCUACUCAACAUGAGGCUCCGGGGCCGCAUUGCGGUAAGCAGUAUCAUCUCACAGUACAACCUGGAAAAACCCGAAGGCGUACACAACUUAGAGCAACUGAUCGGGAAACGGAUUCGCCUGGAAGGAUUUAUAGCUGGGGAUUACUAUCACCUCUACCUGAAAUUCUUGGAAUUGGUCAUUCCUGCAAUCAGAGAAGGAAAGAUGGUGUAUGUGGAAGACAUAGCCAAAGGACUCGAGAAAAUUUCUCGUAACUGCUACACAUUAAACGCAUUUCACAUUUCCACUCUCUCUCUAUAAAUAAAUACGCACAUAAAAUUUGUCACCAUCCAAAAACAAAAUCUACAUAAAAAAUGGCGGGUGAAGAAGCAGUGAGCAACAAGCAGGUGAUUCUGAGCAACUACGUGACAGGGUUUCCCAAAGAAUCAGACAUGAAGAUAAUAACAGGCUCAAUAAACCUCAGGUGCCAGAGGGUUCAAAAGACGCAGUGCUUUUGAAGAAUCUUUGUCUUUCCUGUGAUCCUCACAUGAGAGGACAUAUGAGCGAGCUUGAUAAGCCUUGGUUUGUUGCCUCGUUAAAGUCUCGAAAAUCCUGAAGGUAUCGACAUCUAUUUCGAAAAUGUUGGGGGUAAGAUGCUUGAUGCAGUGCUACUCAACAUGAGAAUUUGUGGCCACAUCGCUGUAUGCGGAAUGAUCUCACAGUACAACCUUGAGAAGCCUGAAGGUGUACACAACUUGAUGCAAGUAGUUGGAAAACGAAUUCGCAUGGAAGGAUUUCUUGCCGGUGAUUUCUACCACCAAUAUCCAAAAUUCUUGGAACUGGUUAUGCCGGCAAUCAAAGAAGGAAAGUUAGUAUAUGUCGAGGACAUAGCUGAAGGCCUUGAGAAAGCUCCAUCAGCUCUAGUUGGGGUAUUCACUGGGCAGAAUGUUGGAAAACAACUGGUUGUAGUUGCUCGGGAAUGAUAUGAUUACUAUAUGACCAUACACUUUAAAAGCUUAGUGAAGAUGCCUGUGUCUUAUUUGUGAUACAUGUUAUGUUUGUUUGAUCAAGUUGUACUCAGCUAUAAAUCAAAGAUUCAGAACAUGUGUAUGACACUGGUUUCUAAAUCAAUGAACGCUUUCAAAUGUUAGUAUUUUCACAGGAGAAUGCAAUUUAAUUUAUCAACGAUGUCCCAACAAGACCCUCAGAACUGUAGCUUGUAAAGUUAAUUACCAUAUUUUUUUCUUUCCAAUAUAUUUGCUUAUUUCAUAGAAAGUUUACAUUAAAGUCUCAUGUUUCUUUGAAAGGUAAGCAAGUGUGAACGUUUCAAUCUAGAGCUGGAAAAUGCAUUUCCGGGAACUUACUUGAUAAAUGAAGUUUUCAUCUCUGACCUUGAUGUUUCCCACAGGUGCAUUCAUUUCAGCUGAUCUAUAUAAUUUUGUUUUCGAAGGAGAGACACAAAAUCUCCGUUGUUAAGGGGAGAAUUUAGAGUGGCUUUGACUGUUAACAAAUAGCCUAAUGUAAGACUUAACCAACUUCCUGCCCUGUUGUAUGCUUAUGAAUUUUGAUAGAGCUAAGAGUUUGCAGAAGCUAUUGUAUUAUAUGUCGUUAGAGGCUGUAAACAUCAAACACAUUUAAAUUUCAAUGAAAAUUUACUGGAAGUAAAUUUCCUUUGAUCCCACAGGUGACUAAUUAAUGAGAACUUGACAAUGACAAAAGAAAGUGUAUGAACUUUGCAGGCUGGCAUGCCAAUAUUGACUGGGUGGCACCAUCCACCAUCUGCAAGUGAAUAUCAUUGUUGUUUAAUCAACAAGGUGGAGUCCACUGGGACCACACCACAUCGUCAGCCUUAUCUCUAUUCCUCAAUUUUCAGUAUUCCAUACAUCAAAACAAUUUCAGUUUUGUUAUCAAUUAUAAUUUCAUUGUUGGUGACGAUUCUGAUUCCUUUCUUUCUGACAAAACGGAACCAUGGUUGCUGUGGGAGAGAUCUUACUCAACGCCUUCUUUCAGGUGUUGUUUGACAGGUUGGCUUCCCGUGAUUUUCUCAGCUUUGUCCGUCAACUUGGAGGCGGGGUCGAUUCCGAGCUCAAGAAGUGGGAAAGAAAGCUGAAGCUGAUUCAGGCGGUGCUCAACGAUGCAGAGGAGAAGCAACUGACUGACGAGGCUGUGAAGAUGUGGCUGGACGAUCUCCAAGACUUGGCUUAUGACGCUGAGGACAUUCUUGAUGAGUUUGCUACUCAAGCUUUGGAAAGCAAGUUGAUGGCGCACAAUCACGAUAGUUCUGGCCAGGUUCUCAGUUUCAUCCCGGCUGGUUUGAAUCCGAAUGCUAUUAUGUUCAAUUAUAGCAUGGGGUCCAAGAUUAAAGAUAUUACUAGCCGGCUGGAGCAACUCUGCCAAGAAAGAAUUGAACUUGGACUGCAACGGAUUACUGGAGGGGCAUCAUCAACUGCUGCUGCUACACAGCAGAGGCCGUCCAGUUCGAGUGUCCCAACAGAACGUGAAGUAUUUGGAAGAGAAGAAGAUAAGGCCAAAAUUCUUGAUAUGGUACUGGCCGAUACUCCAAGUGUUCAUGCCGACUUUGUUGUAAUACCCAUUGUUGGCAUGGGCGGGAUAGGAAAAACAACUCUCGCUCGGGAGGUUUACAAUGACAAGGCCGUUGGAGAUUCCAAGUUUGAUGUAAAAGCAUGGGUUUGCGUAUCUGACGUCUUUGAUGUUUUGGGCAUCUCAAAGGCACUUCUCGAGUCAAUCACCCGCAGGCCUUGUCUUCUAAACAGUUUAAAUGAAGUGCAGGUUGAAUUGAAAGUAGCUGUGGAUAAGAAAAGAUUCUUGCUGGUCUUAGAUGAUGUUUGGAACGAGGACUACAGCUUGUGGGUAGACUUAAAAGCUCCGUUCCUGGGUGCUGCACCAAACAGUAAGAUGAUCGUCACCACACGGCAUAAAGAUGUGGCCUCAAUAAUGGGACCCAUUGAUCAUUACGGUCUCAAGCCUCUGUUAGAUGAUGAUUGCUGGUCCAUUUUCAUAAAGCAUGCAUUUGAAUCUAGAGAUCUUAACGCACAUCAAAUUUCAGAAUCAUUCCGCAAGAAAGUUGUUGCCAAGUGUGGAGGCUUGGCCCUGGCAGCAAAAACACUCGGAGGCCUUCUGCGUACGACGAGGCUUGAUGCGUGGGAUGAUAUAUUAGAGAGCAAAAUAUGGGAUUUACCUCAACAAAGUGAGGUUCUCCCAGUAUUUAGAUUGAGUUACCAUCAUCUUCCUUCUCAUUUGAAAAGAUGUUUCGCUUACUGUGCAAUCUUUCCAAAAGAUUAUGAAUUCAAUGAGAAGGAGGUGACUUUUUUAUGGAUGGCCGGAGGUAUUAUUCGACAGUCCAGAAGCAAAGAGCGGCUAGAAGAUUGGGGCAGCAAGUGCUUCUAUGAUCUGGUGUCAAGGUCAAUUUUUCAGCAAACAGCAAUCUCUGAUAGUUCUAAAUUUGUAAUGCAUGACCUUAUUCAUGAUCUUGCUGAAUCGGUCUUUGGAGAAACCAUAUUCAGGUUAGAGGAGGCCAAUACUCAGUCAAGAAGAUUUGAAAGGGUUCGUCAUUCUUCCUAUGUUUGUGGUGGACGUGAUGGUAAAAAUAUGUUCGAGGUUUUCAAUGAAAUUGAACGUCUCCGAACAUUCUUGCCAUUACGCUUACGCAUAAGAGGUGGCUCUAAUACUAGUUUCAUAACUCGUACGGUUCUAUCUGAUUUGCUGCCGAAGUUCAAAAUGUUGAGAAUGCUAUCUUUACAAGGAUACCGUAUCGGUGAGUUACCAAUUCCGUUUGAAGAUUUGAGACUUCUAAGGUUCCUCAACCUUGCUGACACUGACAUAAGAAGUUUACCUGAGUCAACAUGCAAAUUGCUGAACUUGGAAAUUUUGAUAUUAAGAAAUUGUUCCCGUUUGAUAAAGCUUCCGCAGAAAAUGAGGAAUUUGAUCAAUUUACGUCACCUCGAUAUAAGAGGUGCGAAGUUGCUGAAGGAGAUGCCAUUCGGAAUGAAAGAGUUGAAGAAGCUUCAAACAUUGUCCAAUUUCAUCGUGGGCAAGGGCGAAACUGCAUCUGGUUUGGAAGAUUUAAAAUGUUUAAACCUUCUUUGUGAUGAACUUUGCAUUGCUGGAUUAGAGAAUGUGAAUAAUCCACAGAAUGCAAGAGAAGCCGCAUUAUGCGAGAAGCACAAUCUUGAAGCACUGACUCUAGAUUGGGGGUCUCAAUUUGACAAUUCUCGAGAUGGAGUAGUAGAAGAGCAUGUACUGGAAAUUCUACAGCCUCAUAAACGUAUAAAAAAGGUGGCAAUCAGGAACUAUAGAGGUGCAAGAUUUUCACAUUGGAUAGGAGAUCCUUUGUUCUCCAAAAUAGAGUUCCUUGAAUUGGAGAACUGUGACAAUUGUGUAUCUUUGCCAUCGCUUGGCCGUUUGAAUUCACUUAAGCACCUUGCUGUUAAAGGGCUGAAGAAACUAAAAAGCAUAGAGUCUGAGGUUUAUGGGGAGGGUUUCUCAAUGCCUUUUUCGUCACUGGAGAUUCUAAGUUUUGAGAAUUUGCCAGAAUGCGAGCAUUGGGACACCAAUAUCAAAGGAAAUGUGCUUGUUGAAAUAUUUCCUCGUCUCCAUAAACUUUCCAUUGUGGAAUGUCCCAAACUCUCCGGAAAACUGCCUCAGCUCCUGCCCUCCUUGAAGACACUUGUUGUUAGUAAAUGUGAAAAGUUGGUAGUUCCAUUGUCAAGCUAUCCGAUGCUCUGCAGAUUAGAAGUUGAUGAGUGCAAAGAGCUAGUGUGCAGGACUCCAAUUAAUUUUGAGUUGAUAAAGUCUGUGACUAUUUCAAAUAAUUCAUUACGCAUGAAUGGACGCAAGGGGAUGCUAUGCCAUGGUCCAGCUGGCUCUUCACUGCAGAAACCCAAGACUAUUAUGAAUGUUUUGGAGUUUGGAAAAUUAUUGAAGCCUGGAUUACAGAUAUUAGAAACUUUGGUAAUUGGCAAUUCUGAACAGCUCAAGGAUUGGAGUACUUUUAUUGAACCAGGGCUACAUUUGCUCGCUCACAAUGAGGAGGUAUCAAUUGAAGAAAGUUGCGUACGUCUUGUUUCGGUUCCAGAGAUCAAUUUCUUUCCCAGAAAUCUGCGCUCUCUUCGAAUUUGCAACAGCACUGCUUUGAAAUCCUUACCCGAGGAAAUGAUGGAAAACAAUUCACAACUCGAAAGAUUGUAUAUCAGAGAUUGCGACUCUCUAAUAUUCAUCGCAAGACGGAGGCUACCAGCAUCUCUUAAAUGGCUUGAGAUCAGAAACUGUGAGAAAUUGCAACGUCUGUUCGAUGAUGAAGAGGAUGCUUCUUCUUCUUCUUCUCCUUCAUCCUCGUCUUCCCCGGUGAUGCUGAAACACAUGAGAAUAGAGAACUGCCGAGAGCUCACCAGUUUAUCAUCGGGUGUCCAAUUCCUUGAGGCGCUUGAAGACCUCGAAAUACAGGGUUGUCCAAAGCUGGAGUCAUUACCGGAUGGCCUGCCCAAUCUUAAAUGUUUACAGAACAUUAAUAUACUGGAAUGUCCAAGUCUUGUUUCCUUCCCAGAAAGAGGGCUUCCCAACGCCAUUUCAAAUUUUUGCAUUUGCUUAUGCGACAAGCUUGAAGCCCUGCCCAAUGACAUGCACAAACUCAACUCUCUUCGAGGUUUAAGCAUACAGAUCUGUCCAAAUCUUGUAUCGUUUCCAGAAGAAGGUUUUCCUACCAAUCUAACAAUCCUUGUAAUUGGAGAUUUCGAAUUGUAUAAGACACUCGUCCAGUGGGGGUUGCACAGGCUUACCUCUCUUAGAGAACUCUGGAUUGCUGUAAGUGAAAAUGAAGUAGAGUGUUUUCCAGACGAGGAGAUAGGAAUGACGCUGCCCACCUCUCUCACUCAUCUGUCCUUUAAUGCAUUCCAAAAUUUGAUAUUUCUGUCUUCAAUGGGUUUUCAAAACCUCACCUCUCUUCAAUCUUUGUUGAUCGGGAAUUGCCCGAAUCUCACAUCAUUCCCAGAGGUGGGCUUUCCAUCCUCACUUUUGGAAUUACACAUUAGAAAUUGUCCAAAGCUUAAAACAGCGUGCAAAAGAGAUGAAGGAAAAGAGUGGUCCAAAAUUGCUCACAUCCCUUACGUUGAGAUAGACGGUAAAUUCAUAUACGAUCCAGAAGCAGAGGAGUAGAUUCUACAAUUAAGGUCAGUUGAUUUGUAUUAUCCGCUAUAACAAACUCCUCCUUUUUUUAAAAAAAUAAUAAUUUUGCAGUCACUCACGUGAUUCCGUUUUCACAAGUCAGAUUGUAUGUUGAGGCUAUUUGCCUUUUAAUCGCAGAUUAAAUUAUAACACUUAUCUUAAAAUUUAAUACCAUAGACAGAUAGACGAUUUUUUAAUCCAAAGUUUUUUUUAUUCACUUCAGUUAGCAUUUUUUUUUUCCCCAAAUCAUGCCAGCCGAGAGUUUCAAUCAAGAAUUGGAGGAUGUGAAUGGGAAUUUUGUGAAAGAGUAACAUAAUGGAUGAACGAACAUUUCAUAUGUGAUCUCAAAGUCAACAGAAUUUUAUUCACUCGUUGACUUUUCAACUGCUGUGGUUAUUUAUGGGUGAAAGAUAAGGGCAAUUACAAAAAAUUUGCAAAAUUUGUCAAUUUCUUAGAUGGUAGAUAUAUCGACGUUUUAGAUUUCAGAUAUUUUAAUGCUUUUUUUAAUUUUUGAUCUAGUAAAAAUACAUAGCCUUCACCGGCAGGAUUCUAGUCUUGGCUUUCACCUCUCUAACUCAUCUGUUCCCAUUGGGAUUCCAGAAAUUGAAAUUUAUGUCUUCAAUGGGUUUUCAAAGCCUCGCCUCUCUUCGAUUUUUGUGGAUCGGGAAUUGCACAAAUCUCACAUCAUUUCCCGAGGUCGAGGAAAAGAGCGGCCCAAACUUGCUCGCAUC